UCAAGUGUUAUGGAUUUCAGACAAGGGAACACAACCUCAGUAGUAGUCAGUCUGGUUUCGGAAUCUUCAACUUGCUUCACAAUCACAUCCAUACUCUCGCAGUCACUUAUUUUUAGCUCUUGGAGCUGGAAUAGACUACCAACCAUGCAACUACUGAAAACGUGUCCAAGAAGCUUACAACUUACAAUUGAGACCUUUGUAAGGUUUGGAAAGUUCAACACUAUCCACCGAUUGCUCUUCCACACAUGCUUCAGAGUAUUUAUUCCACCCAAAGUCACCUCUUUCAGCUUCUCAAAUACCACAACAGAUUGCAUUCCAAUAUCCACAUCUUCAUUUGUCCCUUCUGCUACUUCAAAUACUUCCUCUAUUUUAGAUUCACCAUACUUCCUGGUAAUAGAAAGCUUUUCAAGAUUCUUCAAAUUAAGCAACUCCUUGCAUGGAAAAAUUAUGCGGCUUUCCAACAAUUUGUCAAUCCAUUGUGCAUCUACUUCAACUAAAUUUGAAAGAGACCACGGGAACUGAAGUAGCUUUAUCAAAUCUGGAGUAGAGCACAUAGGGAGUUGAGUCUGCUAAGAAAAAUCAAACAUAGAUAGAUCAUCACAAACACGACAAUUACUAAAGAAAAAUACAUUUAAUAUUACAAACAUAAUAAGGAUUGCAAGUUAUGUUAUUCUUCAAUGAGCCAACAUGUAUUUUCAAUCAACAACCUAGUUUAUGACACUGCUUACAUUAUAUUUUGUGAAGAUGAGCAUCAUGAAGAAAAUUUCUGCAUUAUAUAUUGCAUUUGCUCAAACAAUUUAGAUUGUUAUCGAUGAUUGUUGAGUCUUUUUAAAUAAAAGUAAAAAUUAUAGUUUGUGGGUGAGUGGGUAGGGAGGAUAAAAUAAAAAGUAAAAGUUAAGUGUUUUGGCUACUUCAAAAAGGGUAAUUUUUCAUGUACUGAAUAUUUACAUCCAAUUUUUUUAGGAAAAAAGAUAAUUAUGUUAUUGUAUUUUUUAUUGCAUUGUCAAAUACAACAAAUGAUAUAUGGAUGAUAUGCUUACACUUUUACAAUCAUCUCAGCUAUACUAUUUUCGUCAAUUUUAGGUAAUAAACGCUAAAAAAAAAUGUUUACCUUGUAAAAGAUGAGAGAGAAAAGAAGAACUUGAUUAAGUAACAACUAGCAUCACAAUAUUUAUAAAAUAUGUUAGAUAAUUGAAUUAAAUUGGAUGAAAACGAUAUAAAUGAUUUAAUUACAAUAUAUACUUCCAUACAAAAAUCUAUUUGUUAACAGAUAUGAGUGAAAAUAUGUAUAAUAAGGCAAUGCUUUAAUUUCCAUCUAUUUUGUGUUUUCUUUUCUUAACCGAAUGAAGAUGUUAGUUCUAAGUUCCUAAUUAAUGAUAUAUGACAAGUACCAAACGAUCACAUUCUAUGAAAUUUACAAAUGAUUUGAAUAAGAAUGAACUUGCCAAGUAUCAUUUGUAAUACACAAGAAAAUAAUUUUUUAUUUUCAUAUAUUUGAUAUAAAUUCUUAAGUCUUGUAUUUUUAAGGAACGUAACUAUUAUGUGAAUUUUAGAAGCACUUUUUCUUAGGUGCUUAUUUUGUUAUUCCUUUAAUUGAAUACUUGCCCAAACUCAGAGCCACUAGUUAGAUUGUUUGUUUUUCUACAAAGCGAUCAAUUUUUUGUCAAAUUAAAAUACGUUUUAGCGAAAACUGCAAAUUUGGUCCCUGUAUUUGUUGAUUUUUGUGGUUACAAUGGGGACAGUGUAAUAAAGAAGGGGUUGUUGAUCUGAUUCUGAUCAAACGGAAACUAGUAUUGUAUAUGUUCAGAAAUCUUUGGACAUGGAAAAAACCACCCUCAAUGAAUGCGUCAAUUGGGCUUUUUGUCUUUACUUCAUCUAACUUGAUUAAAAUAAUAAAUUGCUAACUUAUGAAUUAGUGAAUAUAACAUCUUUUAUAACAUAAGAGACAACUUAAUAUCUUAGGAAUGAAAUAUUAACUUAUAAUAAAAAAAUAAAAUUGCAUAUUUUCGUAACUUUUUAUAGAUACAAAAAAUGGGAAGUGGUUAUAUAUGUAUCUUCAUUUGGUUUUGUUUGUGUUUCCUUCCGGAAUACACAUAUGAACCGACUAAAUUAGUAAGCAAAUAAUAUGUUGAACAUCAUAAAACGACAUCCUGAUCACCUGGUUAAAUGAUGAAGUAAGGUAACAACAUACCUCAUGUGUAGCAUUGGUCAAAUGGAAGUUGAGGCCAUAUUGAUCAAGACUAUGCUUGCCUAAUUCUGUAUGUAUGUAAUUGAGCUUCGGAGUCAUGGAGUGACCAGAUGUGAAAUUCAUCAUUUGUGGGCAGCCAUAAAUCUUAACCUUUUCCAAUGCUUUCCACUUGAACUCAUUCUUCCCCAAGAAGAAACCCUUGAGAUCUGGUAAAUCUGCAAGUGUAAGGGACUUGAGACGAGGGAAGAAACCCUUGAGUUCUGGUAAAUCUCCGUCUUCCUUCACAAUCACUUUCACUGCCUUGCAUUGUUUUACAGUCAGUUUUUUGAGUUGCUUGAGGCUUUCAAGUGUGGAACUUGUGAUUAUAUAUUCCAAUACUUCACAUCUUUCUAUUUCCAAUAUCGUUAGGUUGGGCAAUUGAAGCAGAGUCAUAUUGGCCGACCUUGGGAUGGUGAUUGCAGUACAAGUAUCAUCACUUCCAUCACCAACAUUCGUAGUACUAUCAACACCAUCUUUUUUUAUUUCUUUACUUUCAAAUAUCUCCACCAUUGACUUACAUUCUUCUAUUCUCAACUCUUCAAGCUUAUUCAGUUGUCCCACUACAUUGGAUGGAAACACUCUUGAUAGGGCAGGGCAAUUCUCUAUAUAAAUCUUUUUGGAGUAUUGGCAUAAGAGCCAAGAAGCAACACCGACUUGAGAACACUACAACAACACAUGAAAAAUCAAUGGAGCUGAUUAAAUUAACAAAGCUUAGCUGUUUUCUAGGUACAUGCACACUACAAUCUAACACAAUAUUUGUUUCUAAGAAUGUAGUUAUAACCACAAGUGCUUCCCACAACUAAGGUAGUUCAGUAACAACGUCGACAAUGUAAGUUGAACUACAAAAGGGCAAUAUACAGAAAAAUCACUAUAUUUCGGCCAUCUUUUUUGCAGUUUAACAACUCCAUUUCAGUUUUAGCUCAUCAAACCUACCCAAGUUUGAAAUUUCUUUCUAUAUUGACAAAUUUGACCUACUAUAGCAGGUUAAAGUGGUCAUAAUUGAAAAGGUUGUCAAUGUUUAGUCCACUUUAUUUCACCAAAGCCACUCAACUUUGACAAUAUUUCUCCAAACUUGGGUGGAUUUCAUAAGGCAAGCUGAAGUAGAGUGCCAUGAUUUAUGAAAAGAAUAUAAAUGGCAUUGGACUUUUAACAAAUUCCAGGUCACCACUGGCGUGACACCUCAGCAGAAACUUUUAUGAGGUUCUGAUGGUGACAGACAGAAUGAACGACAUGAGAUGAGUAGAAAGAUCAUAUGAAGUAUACUUCUGAAAGACACAGAAUCAGCAUAAGGAUAGAAGACUACCUGUGAAAAAUUCAAAUGGUUUACAAGACAAAGUUCAUGUUGGAUUUUAUGGUGAAAAUUUGAAUUAAGAGAAAUCAGACUGUGGUGUUUGGACUCCACUCCAUUAAGGAAGACGGUUUGUCAAAUGACCAAAAUACCCUUGUUAUAUGUAUAACCAAAUAACNAACUAAAAACAAGAAAUCAGUUGUAUGCUAUGCUUUAUGUUGUUGGCAAGAGAGAACAAGUAGAUGGUGGAUGAAAGAAAAGGUAUACUAAAUCAAUCAUAAAAGUGGCCUUAAUUAUAUAGGCUUACAGGAGAUUUUGAACAGCUACAAAAAAGAAAAUAGAAACAAGAAAAAACAAAACUGCCAGGGUGCUAAUUAACACAAUUAAUUAGCAUUUAUUCAAAUUAAAACUUGAAAAUGAACAGACUUUGAUUAGCAAUUAAUCAACAUAUAUAUUUCAGGCGUGUCUGCUGGAACACGUGUAUAAACACAUACAAGCAUGAUAAAAACCGUAAAAUAUACAAAAUAUUGUAACUCUGAACUUUACUUGUCUGUAUUGAAGAAUGGAUAAAUGCUAGAAAUAGCAACGCAUUUCCAUUUAUUAUUUUAUUAAAGCAUCCUACUUUCAUUUCUUUCUAUUACAGCAACAGAAAUCCUUUGUAUUUAGAUGACACUGCUGAAAUUGGGUGGGUUUCUUAAAGUACAAUGCUUUAAUAGGAAAAAGUGAAAGUAAGAUGAUCUGAUAAGCAAAUCGAUAAAAAAAAUUGCUACUUUCAUAUAGGUACUUUCAAAAUCCACCCAUUUAUAGCAUUUUACUUUCAACUUUUCUUUUCAGGCCAUUGUAGCCACAUAUUAUUGGGUAUAUUUUUCAAAGUAUGAUGCUAUAACUGGAAUAAAUGAAAGUAGGAUUUUAUAAUAAGAAAAUAAAGGAAAGUAUGUUGAACAAAAAAAAUGACUAAAAUAUACCCAAUUCAAAAUUAGUAUAGUGCCAUGAUUUAUUUAUGAAGAGAAAACAAAUAUCAUUGGACUCUAUAUAUAACCCAUUACCCCCUCAAUGUGAGAAAACGAAAACAUAACAUUACUUCUAAAUUUAUUAUUCAGAAAUGAGUUUGCAAUCAAUAUGCUUAUAUUUCCGUACUUGCACUGAUUACAUGCAUCAUCUUCUUCAUGUUAAUUUAUUAUACAUCUAUGAAUUUUCAUUAAUUGUAUACUGUAAAAUCUAUCUUAAUUCUAAUAUUCUAAAAAGAUCGAAAGCAUUUUUAGAACAAAGAUUUUUUCAAGGGAGUCCUUUUCAGUAAAGACUUGGUUAAUUAUACUUGAUAAAUUAAGAUCUAGAGAUAUUUCCAAAAUUGACACUCUUGACAUUUGACUCUGAUAGUUCAAUGUCAUAAAGUUAGUUAAUAUUUUAAAUAUGACACUUUUCUGGUACAAUAGAAGUUGUAAACAGGAGCCUUUUGCCACAUAUUGUAUUUAUAUAUUUUCAGUUGGCACACGAGAUACAGUUAUGUAAAGUUUCAUAUUCUUUUGUUUGAUGUCAGCAAAAAAAAUAUUUCUUUUAAACAGCAAACCGAAUUCUAUUAAGCCAAACUAGCGCAUGCUAGGAAACAAAAAAAAAUGCAUCAAUAAAAUCAUUUUUGUUCUAUUUUUCAUGACUUAUAUACAUCAAUCAAUCAAAUUUUUUCUCUCCCUCACAAUCCGCUCUUAUCAUAAAUCAAUUUAAUGACCUACGCAAAUGAAAAAACUAUUAAAUAUUAUGCAUGCAGUUAUUCAUUUUUGUCUUUCCAGCUUCAGAAGUAUUAGCUAAUGGAGUUAUAUCACACAACUAAUGGAGAAGAGAAUAUUAAAAAAAAAAAGAAAUAAAACAAAUAAUUGAAAACAUAAAGGUGCUAAUUAACACAACUAAUUAGCAUUCAUUCAAAUUAAAACUUGAAAAUGAACAGACUUUGAUUAGCAAUUAAUCAAGAUAUAUUUCUGGUGCAGAAUCAAAGUAUGACACAGGAAGUGGACAUGGUGGUCAUUAUAAUGGUUAGUCUCAACUUCAAAACUAAAAAAGACAAUGAAUAUGAGAUAUAAACAAAUGCAAGCAUGAUAUAAACCAUAAAAUAUACAAAUAUUUCACCUAGAUUUAUAGCUAUGAAUUUUACUUGUGUGUACAAAAGAAGGGCUAAAUGCAAGAAAUAGAAACGCAUUUUUAUUUAUUCGUUUGUUAUAGCAUCCUACUUUCAUUUCUUUCUAUUGCAGAAAUAGAAAUCCUUUGUAUUUGGAUGACAUUGCUAGAAUUGGGUGGGUUUCUGAAAGUACAAUGCUUUAAUAGGAAAAAAAUGAAAGUAGGAUGCUCUUAAUUAUAAGCAAAUAAAUGGAAGUAAAUUGCUAUUUCUAUCAUUUUAGCCUUUAAUAAAUGACACAAGACCACCAUAUUGGUGCUAUAAUUGGUAUAUUUUUCAAAAAAAAAAAAAGCAUCAAAAAAAAGACAUCAAUAAAAUCAUUUUUGUUCCAUUUUUCAAAUUACCUAAUAAAAAAUCAAGAAUAAUGUCGAUAUGACUUAUAUGCCUCUAUCAAUUAAUUUUUUUUCUCUCCCUCACAAUCCGGUUUGAGUCCACCAUCCAUUUUAGUUAAUUUAACUAAAUUAAACUGGAUACAAAACAUUUUAAAUGAUUUAUAACCAUGCUUAUCAUAAAUAACUUUGUGAACUAUGCAACCGAAUAAAAUUUAAAAAAAAAAAACAAAAAAAAAAUUAGGUAUGUAGUUAUUUAUUUUGUGUUUCUAGCUUCAGAAGAAUUAGCUUAGGGAGUUAUAUAAAGCAGCUAAAGGAGAAUAGAAUAUUAAAAAAACGAAUAACUGAAUAUGUAAAGGAUUUGCUUAAAAGAAAUCAAAUAUACCUGGAACUGAUCAUGGAUGGAAGUAGUUGUGAUCGUAGUACCGCCAUCGAUGCUCUUUAGACUUGGCAGAGAAUUAAGGGAGAGACCUUGAAGAAAAGGGAAGGAGGAGAUGGUGUUUGUGUGAGUAGAAGAUAUUAUUUCUUCAUUUUCAUCAUUAAUAUCUCUAUUUGAAACAACUUCUUCAAUACCAUCACACCUCCAUAUCCUGACCACCUUUAAGUUGGGAAGAAGUUUGCCCAUGACAGGUGAAAAUAAGUACUUUAUGCUUUUGCAGUAACUCAUGGAUAUUUCUGUGAGGUUGUGGAAUGAGUAGGAUUGUGAUUGGUUUUGAGGAAUUACAAGUUUCUUCCAAUUGCACUUCCACACAUCACUCAUCCUCUCCAUAUCCCAUAAAUAUAAUUCCUUGAGGUGGGGAAGUAGUAGUGGUGGUGGUUGAUGAUUAUAUUUAUGCAGAGUUUUUGUCAAAUAUGUGUUAUUGAUGCUGCUGCUACCGGAACUCUCUAUCUCAAACACCACUUCAACAUCCUUACAGCCACCAAAUAUCUCAAGUCUUUGAAGGUGAUUAACGUGAAAAGGUUUGGGAUGAAUUGAGGAUUCAACGUCAGGAAUAUUACCAUCCACCUCUGAAAUGAUCUCUGCCUUGGAUAUAACAUUAAUCUGCACAUAUCUCAACAACAAAUAUAAUUACAAAUCUCCUACAAAUAAAUAUGUAAAAUACACGCACUUACACAAAUACGUAAAAAUGAUAUUUUUCACAAGAAAUUACAAAAUUGGUCCCUGUGUUUAUCUCUUCUCUCUCUUUUUUUUUUUUUUGGUUUAGGUCCAUCAAAUUGUUUAGGAAUUUUGGUCCCCAUUAACUUGCUUAUAAAUAUGCAAAUAAUAAUAUGAAGGUUAAAACAGAUCCACACUUUUAGCAAUGUGGGAAAUAUAGAAUACUUCUCCAAACUUAAAAGUGUUGUAGUGACAUAGGUAAUUUGUCCAUGUUUUUAAAUUUGGAGUUUUAACUUUUUCUUUAUCACAUACUGAAGUGUAAAGAUUUAGAAAUAAUUUGUCAGGAUACAUCUCUUCACGCAAAUUAAUAAUCUUAUUGCACUUUAAAGUGUGAACACAUCCAAAGAAUUGUGUAGAAUUGUAGUGUGAUAUGUAUAUACGUGUAUGUACGUACAGAGACACAUAUACAUAAGUGCUCUAGCAUCAAAAUAGAAAUAAAAAUAGAAAGCUCAAUGAUAUCACAUACCUCUUGGUUGUUCUGAACCAAUUCAAUGUUUCCCCUGGUUUCUUCCCAAGUUCUCCUACCAUCUAUACUCACUUUCAUAACUGUUCUCACAUCAGAAUUGGUCACGGUAGGUGUGAAUACGUUUACAAACCUCUCACAACUUCUUAUUUCUAUCCUUUCAACAGCUUGAAAGCUACGGAUGAGGAUAUCAGAGCUACUUUCACCUUUCAUCCUCCACAACUCUCUUAUCUUCCCCAAAUUAUGUACUUUAAUGAGUCUCAAGUUGCUACUGUACUCUUCAAUUUCACCAACACAACUCAUGUCGAUGUUAAAUAACACUUCAAUGCUUCCACAAUCAGAAACAUCCAGCUCUUCCAGACGACCCAGCAAAGACAUGGGAUUGGUUGGAAACAGAUUCACAAGAUUAUCACAUUUCUCUACUUCAAUCGUUCUCAACAUGCAGGCAUUAACUUCGUCACUACUACUAAAUUGAUAAGGCCAUAUCUCUUUCAGCUUAUCCAUCCUCCAAAUCCCCAAUUUCUCCAACUUAGGAAUCAGCAUCUGCACAACAAUUAAGACAUGUUGAUAAUUGUAGUGAAAUCAAACUUAAAAUAGUUUGUUUGGGGGAUCACAAAUUCACAAUCUAAUCAAUACAGAUUUUCAUUACAAAGAAAAUCUAUGAAACUGUCAACAUAAAUCCUAAUAUAGAGGUACCUGUUUGUUAAAGAAUGGUUGAAUUGCAGAAGCAUUACUGGACAUCGAAGAUGUUGCAGAUGUUUUCUCUGGAUAAAUGCUACUGAAAUUAGGAAGGCCAUCAAGUUCCAACUCCACCAGCUGUGGUAGCUCAAUUACAUUAGCAGUGUUGCAAAGACCUAUCAACUUUGGUAGCCUAUCCAAUCUUAGAAACUUUAGCCCCUGAAACUGAAUUGCACAAUAUCCACCAUUCUCACUAUGUGCAAGUAUUUCAAGAACAGAGCACUCUGAAACUGUGAGGUGCUCAAGCUUCACCAAACCAUUUGCAAUUGGGACUGUAAAGAGGUACCUCAAGUUUUCACACUUGAACACAUCAAGGACUCUUAUAUUAUUAAACGCCUGCUGAGGGACAUGAACUGAUUCCAUUAAAACUUCUUCAAGAUCGUUCAUACCAACCACCUCCAAAUAAAGCACUUCAGUUUUCUUAAACAACUCAUUGAUGCUAGAUUCCAAUAACUCAUCUUUAUUAGUGACCAACCUCAAUGUGUUUUCAAAUGAGUGCAUAUUUUUGUUGGUAUUGUCUACUAAACCACAUCCCAUAGAGAUCCUGAACCUGUUAAGUUUAGUAAACAACAUAUUCUCGGGUGUACUGUUGUUGUCAAAGAACUCAACUUCUAAUGCAGAAAGGUGCUUUGAAAGCUCUGCUAAUUCAGCAUAAUUUCCAUUUGUGAACCUGAUUGCCUUUCUAUCAUCAACUCUCAUAUAAAGCUCUUCAAGCUCGACCAAAUUUAUCAAGACACCAUCAUCAAUACGAAGAUUAAGACACCCUGUCAAAUCCAGUAGCUUUAGCUUCUUCAACUUUCCGAUUGUGGAUGGUAAUUUUCUGAUGCCACAAUGAGCAAAAGCACUUCCAAAUUCAAUAGUUCACCAAUUACAGAGCAAUCAAACAUCAAUAAGCAUUGAUGGAGAAUGAGUGUUCGUAGCUUGGUGGAGCAUUCAAGUGAUAUGGGAAGCAACGGAUAAUGCAUUUUUUCAUAUGCUACAACUUCAAGAUUUUCCAUUCUUUUAUAAAAAUCUUCAGAGAACUUAAGCGACUUAUCUCCAUCCAUAAGUCUCAAAAGUGAAAGGUUUGGGUAUUUAAAGUCACCAGGAAACUCAGACAUUCCUGUGCAAGUAAUAGAAACUCUUUUGCAAGAAUCUUUCACUUCAGCUCUACUCCACUUUGAAAUAUCACCAUGGUUGAUCAUCCAUGGAUGGUCACCUUUAGAAACUCUACUUAACACAAAAGCAAGCACAAGAUCAUGCAUUUUGACACACCCAAUAUAAUCGCUAUCCAUCAACAAAUUUGCAUUUCUAAGAUUCUGCACACACGUUUUUGUCCUGUCUCUAGCCUCUCCCAAAGUAGAAACUUCACUUAACAAACGUAGGCCCCAUGCAUAUCUUGUGAGUUCCUCGAUUGGAAUAUUAAAGUCAUCAGGAAACAAGCCACACAAAAGAAAAAUCAGCUUUUCCUCCUCUGUUUUUAUAUAGUCAUAGCUUAUCUUGAUAACUUCUUGCACAUUCUCAUCAAGAUUCUUCUUCUUCAACCUUUGAAAAGUAUCUCUCCAUACAAAAACUUCUUGAAAUCGAAGGGUUUUGGCGAUGAGUUUAAUGGCAAGGGGCAAAAAACCACAUCUUCUCACAAUUUCACUUCCUAUUUGAUUGAGCUCCAUAUCAUGUUGUUGUGAAACUCCUGUGAUUUUCCAAAAGAAAUUUUGUGCUUCGGGCUCCUCCAUCACAUCCACUCGAACUAGUGUCGAAUCCGAAUUAGCUUCUACUGCAAUUUGUUUGCAAAUAUUUUCAUUUCGUGAUGUCAGCAACAACUUGAAGCCGUUGGGCAAAGGACUCAAUCCAAUAUCUUUGAGUUCAAUUGUUUCCCAUACAUCAUCUAAUAUUAGUAAAACCUUUCUUCUACCUUCUGGAAGGUUUCCAAAUGUUAUACGAAGACGAUCUGCUCUUGCUUCUUUACUGGGUUCAGUGAGGGAUUGGCCCAUCAUGUACACUGCCACAUCUUGCUGAAUUUUAGACAUGUUAAUUUGUUGCCCAAUAACCAUCUUCACAACAUAAUCAAACAUUUUCUUAUCUUCUGCAGCCUUUUUCAGUUGCUCCAUCAUGGUGGUUUUCCCCACACCACCCAUUCCACAUAGGGCUAUCACUUUGCUCUUGUGAUCUUGUUGGAGGGACUCCAAGGCGCUCUUAAAAGACUUUUCUCUUGAAUUGAAGUGAUUUUGGGCAUCACCAUCCAAAGGAACAUAACUGGAUGUGAUUUUCGAGUUCACUUUCCCAAGAGGUCUUUGAGUAUCACUCCAAGUUAUCUUACUACUUUCAUCCAUAAGACUUUCCAUCUCCUGCGUGAUCUUGAAUGCAUUCCUACCUGCUUGAUACCUCAUUUUCAUGUUGAAACAUCCAUUCCCGGUGCUUGAAAUGCUUUGAGCUUUUUCUUUAGUCUUUUCGACUUCUUCCAACCAACCCGGUACACGAGUAGGUAUCUCCAGAUUUUUUCUAUAGUUUGUGUCCAUUUGCUUUUUGACAUCACUGCUUGUACCAUCCAGCUGCUUCAUUUUAGUAUUCAUGUUCCUAACAUGUUUCAUGGAGGAAAAGAGAUAUCCCAACUGUUUCUUCACAGGAGCGAUUAAAGAUUCAACAAUAGGACCAAUUAUUGCAGAUGCAAACUCCAUCUUUUAAUAUUCUAGCUUUUACAAAGACCUGUAACAGAUAAAAAAAGACAAUGAAAUUGUUAAAAGUUAUUAAUUAUUAACUUGCUUAGCUAUCUUUUUUCAAUUAUCAUAUAUAAUCCAUAGAUAAUUAGUGUUAUAAAAGUUUCCCUCAGGAUUUAGGACACAUGACACGUUUGGCUAGAAAAGAAUUGGUAGUUGGUAAAUUAAUGUAUAUGAAAAUUCACAGUUAAUUUGCUGCUUGUCUUCCCUUGUCAACUUAGCCUUGGUUUUUUUUUAAAUGAUUGAAAGUGGGAAUAGAUUAUUAAUUUCAACAUCUUCAUCAUCAUGUGAAAUUGUGAAAGAUGAGGAACAAAAUAUGGUGCCUUUUAAUUAGAGAUUUAUUAGUUGUAAACAGAGUCCUACAGUGAUAUUAAGGCUAGAACUGAUCUCUAUGUGAUCUGUCCUAAAAAAAACAUUCCUCCAAAACAUUGUUCAAUAAUCAAAAGAGGGAAAUGAGGAGGCACUGUCAUUCAUUUAAACAUUUACUUGAUUUAUAUGUGGAGCAUAGAAGAACAAUCCACAACGAGUAACAAAGCAAACAUUUUUUUUUCAGAUAACUUCGUCAAGGAUCGAUAGAUUCAAAACAAAUAACAGCUAAGAAAAGUUAUUCAUAAACAAAGAGAAAAACUUUCAACAAAAACGUACCUCGCUCUACUAUAUGCGCCUGUGCUAAUGCUUGCUGUUUUUGUUGCUUUGUAAAGUGUGUAUGUGAACAAGUGGUUGGAAUUGUGAAGAAGGCCAAUAUAUCAAGUAUGAACAAGCAUCAAUUAUUGCUGUUGCGCUGCAAAUACCACGGAUUUGGAUGAAUGGAAGUAAUGCAGUCUCAGUCAUAAUCAAGGUACUAACAGCAUAGCGUAACGUACUACAGGGUACAGCUCAAAUAAUACAGUCAACAGUCAACGGUCCCACAGAUUGAUAUUGAAGCACGAUACAAUGUUGGAUCCCUACCCUACCUUAAAUUGUGAUAUUUCAUAUACACCACAUAUAUAUCAUCCUGAUUUUGGGGCAUCCUUUUGCAAAAAAGAAAAACAGAAUUUGUUAAAAAUUUCAAAAUAAUUGUAUNUGGGCAUCCCUUUGCAAAAAAAGAAAAACAAAAUUUGUUAAAAUUUUCAAAAUAAUUGUAUUUAUUGGGAUGAUUAUUAGUUGGUCACAUAUUUGAAGAACCUUAUUGUAAUCGUAAUAAUCUAAUUUAACACUAAAACAUGUGUUUUAAAAAAAAAAAAAAAAAACAUAUAAUAUUAAAUUAAAUGGUUUAAAAUAAUAAGAAAAAAUAGUUCAAACUAUGAAUAACAAAAUGAACGUUGUCAAAAAAGUCGAGAACAUUAUCACUCAUAAAUAAUUUCUUAUGAAUAGAUAUUUACAUGUAAAAUGUAAAUAUAAUAGGUAUGUUCAUAGCAAGAUUUUAAUAACUUUUUUUAGUUUUAUUAAAAAACUCGAGUUAAAGAAAAAAAUUAUUUAGCGUUAUGAGUAUUAAACUUCCACUUCAAAUAGAUUUUAGUAUCUUUUAAUUUUUUUAAAUUUUACACCUUUAAAUGUUAAAAACAACUUUUUGAAUAACAAUUAUACAUGAAUUUUCGAAGCCAACAAACUUCACACGGUUGGUGGGCAAUACUUAGGGGAGGAGUCAUGUAAACCUCCUCAUGCAGAUCAUCAUUCAAAAACACAUUCUUAACAUCCGUUUGGAAUAUCUUCACUAACAAGUGGUUGUAACUGUGUUAUUAGAGUAUGAUGUUCAUCAUUUUUGUCAUCAAUUUUUGUGUGAGUUAAACUAAUCAUUCAUAUGAGUCUAGUGAAGAGUCGUAAGUUCCUCUAUUAAAGAAUUCUACCAAAGGAGAUCAUAAACGGCUUCUCUAUAGGACUCAGUUUCUAACAUAUUAUGUAUAUUGGCAAUAAAUGAAGCAAACAAAGAUGAAUAAGAAAACUCCAUGAGUUUGGUAAACUUACAAGUACCGAUGGACUUAAAAUGUGGUGGAAGAUUCACAGUCACGAUCAAGGUUGUAGAACUCGCUACUCGGUACUUACUUGGCUGACAGUCGAGUAGGGAGUACUCGGAUUCGGUAAUUCAUGUAGAAAUAUUUUUUAGGAAAAUUAUAUAUGUCAAAAUCAUAAGUUGAUUGAUAUAACAAAAUUAGAUACAUGUGAAUACAUAAAAAUUAAAGUACACAUAAUGGUCUCAUUUUGUGAAUAAUUACUAAAAAUUUAAGAUAUAUAUGUAGUAACAAUCACAUGUGUGUAUGUUAAAUAAUAAAUCACCAAGUGUAUUAUACAUAUUAAUCUUCAAAUUCUUGAUUUUUUUCUCUUUUCAAGACAAUUUUGACCAUUUAACCGAGUUUGACCGAGUUGGUCUGAGUUUGACGAAUUUGGUCUGAUUUUCGAGUUAUUUGGCCGAGGUUGCUUAACUCGCAUUAAUAAGAGGCCGAGUCUGAGUACUCGACCGUGUACUCGCCCGAGUUGGCCGAGUUUUAUAACACUGGUCACAGUAUGUAAAGAAGCAGUCUCGAUAAUAGGAGGAACUUGAGAGAUGUAUGAUGUUGUGGGCAUAUUAUAAAUUGGGUCAUCAUAUUCAAUGUUAUCUCUUUAUUUCAAAUGUACUAGAGUUGAUUAUCUAACAUAUCUAAUGGAUAAAAACAACAUUAUAAAUAAUAGCUAGUUAUAAAGAAUGUUACAACUGCAUUAGGCACAUUUUAUUGGUCGUACACCAUGUACAUCACCAAGUUAACAAUAAGCAUAAAUCCUAAAUAUCCCAAAUAGGUUUAAAACCAAUUUAGCAGAACAUUAUAAUUUACAUCUAAUGUUAGGCCUCAUUAUUUAGUAGUUGAUACUUGGACUUUCUUUGGUAAUCUCAUCCGCAACAAACAUAAUUUAACUUUAAGUAACAUAUAAAAUAGGUUUAAUUAGUCUACAAAUAAUAGAAUAUUAGAGAAUUUUGACCUUAGAUUUUGUGGUUCUCCAUCGUAUUGAGUUAGUUUCCAGAGAGAUGUAUAGGCAAAUUUCUCAAACAGAUAUUAUGAGACGCCUUUACUCAAACUUGUAACACUAGAAGGUAAGACUUCCUACAAUUAAAAUCUCGUUUGUUACACAUGUCAGUAUAUGACAAAACAAAUUGUAUUGCAUUUGGUAUGUAUUGGACUGUGACAGUGUGACAAAUUUCAAUAGGGCAAAUAACAUAAAAGCCCUGAAUGUAACGUCCAAAAAUUUCACGCAAAAUUCAAACUUUUUCAACCAUAAAUAAAAGACAAAUAGUAUUGUUUACAAAACGUUUUCAAAUCAAUAUCCAUCAGAGUGUCCCAAAAUCAUAACAUAAGGAUGAGGAGCGGUACGGUUACGCCUUCGCCUUGCCACGAUCUCCUGAAGUACCUGAAACAAUAAACUGAAAACUGUAAGCCCGAGGGUUUAGUGAGCUACCCCCAAAAUACCAAUACCACACUGACAAUACCAUAUCAGUAACAAUCAAUCAAUCAAUCAUGCAUACUGGGCCAUCGGCCUGACAGGACCGCCCUAGUGGGCCUACAGUCUAUCUGAACCUAUUCAUGCAUACUGGGCCAUCCUGACUGGACCGCCCUAAUGGGCCUACAGUCUAUCAGAAUCUAUCCCGAGCCUUCGGCAUGACUGGUCCGCCUCGUGGGCCUGCAGUCUCCCCGGACCGCUCAUAGGGUAUGUUGGCCUUCAGCACAAUGCAGGACCGCCCCAACCCAACCAAUAAGCAAAUAACCAAGUUCGCAUAACUAUCACAUACUGGCAUAUACAACCAUCAAACAUAUAUGUCAUACUGAUCAUUAACCAUAUAAUCCUCUCGUAACGAGAGUACCGACCUAGCAGGUCACUAGCAUACCAAUCCAUACGGACCAUAAAGCAUGCAUACUGUCUACCCUGAUUCUAGCAGACCAAAUCAUAUAUAGCAUACCAUAACAAUAACAACUAAAGGGUCGACCUUGGUGCCGUAGACCCUAUCGAUAUAGUGAGGAUAACUCACCUCGCAGAUGUCGACUCGGAAGAUAAACUCCAACUCUCAAAUCACUUGACACAAGCUCCACCAUUUAUGACUAUAAUACAAUAUACUCAUAAGUCCUUAACCUUAUAAGGUACUCCAUAACCCACCAGUCAACCCCUGGUCAAAUUCAAAGUCCUUAGUCAAGGUCAACAGUCCAUGUUGACCCCAACUCGCCGAGUACCCUCGGCUACUCUCCGAGUGCCUUGAUGCACAUCCCACUCGCCGAGUCAUCGGGGUGACUCGUCGAGUUCCAUCAAUUUUCGUUCAAACUUUCAGGCCAUCUGUCGAGUUCCCUCCUUGCAACUCGACGGAUACAUACGCAUACAUAUCCAAGGGAAAACUGAUAGCUUCAUUUUAUUCACUUCUUUUUCUAGUUUAUUGAGCAUAUUUCAUUCACAUUUUAAUUAAUUUCCAUGCAUAUUUUCCUUUUUGUUAUUUUAUGACCACUUUCGGGUACUUUGUAGUUUCGUGAGUAUAAAUGCAUAUUUUAAGGAGACUAGCAAAGCGUGAUCUUUUGGGAAGCAACUGGGCUUGAAGAGCAAUAGGGAUUUAAUGCUUGAUGACUAUGGAGGAUCGAUGAUCAAGAGUUCAAAGAAGCCAUAAAUGAUUUGGAAGAGUCAAAUUGGGCUCAAAUUGAAGAGAACUUAAAGAAAAAUAGGCUAGAAGCUGAUUAGACUCGAAAUGGACCAAUGGACUAGCUGUGGGAGCCCAAGACACGAGGAAACCCAAAAUACGUACCCAGUUCACGCGGCCCGCGUGGGAAUACCCGCGGCCCGCGUAGAUGAUGCUGAUGAAGAUCCGACUUUUUCACAUGUGGCUCUAUUAUUGGAUGCUUAGUUGGUAUCUUUUGGUGGCUUUUUAAAUCCGGAAAUUGGUCUUUUUGGCUAGAAAAUAUGUGUACUUUUCAUGCCCAUCCCUCAAAUAAUUGCUCCUCUUACUAUAAAAGGGAGGGAGGACAAUGGAAGAAACACACAAUACACUACAAUCAUCAAAGAAGCUAGAGAGAAGUUAAAGGCUUUUGAAAGUCUUGAAGAUUGGUGGAAACUCUUUCCAUUCCAUAUCUAAAGACAAUGUUUGGUAUCACUAAACUCUUUUCUAUGUGUUUUGUUAUGGCCAUGCUUGGCUAAAUUCUUAUUUGGUUGACUUGGAUGUAAUUGCUUUAAUGUUUUGGUUAUUUUGAAGAACUCCAUGAACUUAUGUUGAAUAUCUAUGAUUAUAUUUUCUAUAAAAACUUCCUUUAUGUUUAUAUUUCUCUAGUCAUGAAUAUUAAUUUAUGAAUAUUGUUUUGUUGGUUAAAUCUUGACUAAGUAAUGGGUCUUCAAUUUAACAAGCAACAAUUAGUUUAAAUGUUUGUUUUCAUUUCAUUUAAACUAAGAAAACAUUUUCUCCAUAAUGGUAAUGAAAGCAAUAGAUUACUCUUUGGAUUUGGUGACUCUUAAAUCCUAAUGUUAAUUGAUUUUCACAAGAUUACAUGCUUCAUUAGUUUUGUGACUUUGAUUAAAGAAAUGUGCUAUGAGCUUCUCUAGUCAUUUUAAUACAAAAGAAGAGUUGAGGCAAGUUAUGCUUAUAAAUUGCUAUAGCCAAGUUAGAUCAUAAACACAAGUAUUGCACCUUGGUAUUCUCAUGAUUAUUUAACCAAAUGUUAAAGUAAUGAAAUUCCAAUGCCAACCAUCUUUCUCUCAUUGAUUUUAUAUCAAAUUCUUAUUUUUGUUGAAUUGUCCAAUUAAUUAUAAUUUUAGUUCAAGUAAUCCCAAAAUAUCAAAAUCCCCAUCUUUUAUUCUUAUUGUUAUUUUACAAGUAUUUGUACAACAAAGAUUAUCAUAGAGUUAUACAAUUGAACCAUUCCCCGUGGAUUCGAUCCCUUUACCACUAUACACUAUUUUAGUGUGUAACAUUUAGGGUAUUUAUUUUGUUGGCCUCGACACCCAUCAAAUUUUGGCGCCGUUGCUGGGGACUGGUUUAUUUUUAAUCAAUUUAUUUCUCUAUGACCAGAUCUCAACGUACAGGUAACAUGAUUUAUAAUCCAGAAAUUGAAAAAGAAGCAAGGCGUGUGGCAAAGGAAAAGCGAAUAGAACGUCGUCAAACUUCCAACCCUCUCGUGGAUCCGGAAAAAUUAACCACUUCCUCAAGUGAUCCGGAACCCGAUUAUAGUCCCGAUCCUCGCCAAGAAAUUCCCGAAACACCACCUCUACAACAAGAUCCAUCCAUAUUUGAACCAAUCGCAAUGGCGGACGGAGGAGAAGUUCCCGAAAGAACUUUGAGGCAAAUGAUGGAGACCGAUGUUACACAAACUCCAACCGGUAUCAACUACCCAGUAUUGGAAGGAGGAUCAGAAUUAAAGUCAAGUUUGGUCCACCAUCUUCCGACUUUCCGUGGGUUGGAAAACGAAGACCCACAUAAGCAUUUGAAGAUGUUCCACAUUAUUUGCACCAGCAUGAAGCCACAAGGGUCAACCGAUGACCAAAUCAAGCUAAGGGCAUUCCCCUUUUCAUUGGCCGAUAGAGCAAAAGAUUGGUUAUUCUAUCUUCCACCGGGUUCAAUAAACUCAUGGACCGAUAUGGCAAGAACUUUUCUUGACAAAUUCUACCCUGCCUCAAGAGUCUCAAGUCUUAGAAAUGAGAUUUGCAGAAUGAUUAUUUGGAGAGAUUUAACAACUUGUGCUAUAGUUGUCCACAACAUCAAAUCCCGGAACAACUCCUCAUUCAACACUUUUAUGAGGGAUUGUUACCAAUGGAGAGAAGACUAGUUGAUGCCUCAAGUGGUGGAGAUGUCUUUAGCAAAACUCCACAACAAACAAGACAACUCUUCAACACCAUAGCCGCAAAUUCCCAACAUUUUGGCCCGCGCCAAGAUAUGAAGAGAGAGACUCAACAUAAAGUCAAUGAAGUGGGGUCAUCAAGCCUCGAGUCCCAAAUCAAAGAUUUAACCUCUAUUGUUCAAAAGCUCACCAUGGGAAAAACUCCACAAGUUAUGGUUUGUGGAAUAUGUGCAACAAUGGGACAUCCUACGGACAUGUGCCCCGUUCUUCAAGAAGAUGCGGAACACGUAAAUGCAACGGGUGAGUUUCAAAAUUACCACAAUAAACCAUCCGGUUACCAAAACACAUAUAAUUCUAGUUGGAAACCAAAUCCCAACAUGAGCUACAAACCAAGACCAUUGCCCCAAAAUGCAUUAGUUAGACCUUCCUACCCACCACAACAACCUCAUUACCAACACCCACAACCACACUAUCAAUCAAAACCAUACCCUCCACCUCAUCAUCAACCACCUCCUCAAUCUCAACCAAGUAACUCCAGAAUGUCUCUUGAAGACAUUAUCAAAUCACUAGCCACUAGUACCCAACAAUUCCAAAAAGAGACAAGAACUAGUAUCUCCAACCUUGAAACACAAAUGGGAGAUAUAGUUACAGCCAUAAGCAAGUUGGAGUCCCGUGGAAAACUGCUUUCUCAAACUGAAAGAAACCCAAAUGUCAAUGCAGUGACCUUGAGAAGUGGCAAACAAGCCGGAGAAAGUACAUCAAACAAGAAACCAAGGGAUGAAGAGGAAGAAAUAGAAGUCAUUCCCAUUGAAGAACCUACAACAAAGAAUGCCACCCAAACUGAAAUUCCAAAGAAGAUUACCCCUCUAGUGACCCCAAUAGCCACUCAACCGCCAUUUCCCUCCCGACUUGCAACCUCAAAGAAGAAAAUGGAGGAAAAAGAGAUUUUGGACACCUUUCGAAAGGUGGAAGUAAACAUCCCUUUACUUGAUGCAAUCAAGCAAAUUCCAAGGUAUGCAAAAUUUUUGAAGGAACUUUGCACCAACAAGAGGAAGUUGAAAGGAAAUGAGAAAAUCUCAAUGAAUGAAAACGCAUCCGCGGUUUUACAAAGAAAACUUCCACCCAAGUGCAAAGAUCCGAGAAUGUUUACGGUUCCUUGCAAGAUUGGAGAUACUACUUUUAGUAGUGCCAUGCUUGAUCUUAGUGCAUCCAUCAAUGUCAUGCCAUAUUCAGUGUAUAAGUUAUUGAAUGUCGGACCUCUAAGCGAAACCGGUGUCAUAAUCUCUCUCGCGGAUAAAUCAAGUGUCUUCCCUAGAGGUGUUUUGGAAGAUGUCCUAGUGCAAGUAAACCAAUUGGUUUUCCCAGCAGAUUUCUAUGUGAUUGAUCUAGAUGAACAAGUGUCCUCAAAAUCAGGUAUAAUCUUACUUGGGAGACCAUUCUUAAAGACAGCUAGAACAAAGAUUGAUGUGUUUGCAGGAAGUUUAACAAUGGAGUUUGAUGGUGAAACAAUAAGUUUCAAAAUUUAUGAUGCCAUGAGAUAUCCAAGUGAUGUUUCAUCUUUGUGCUAUGUCGAUGUUAUUGAACCAUUAACCCAACAGUUGUUCGAAUUGUCUAAUGGCAACAUUUUGGAAAUGGUUUUAAGCAAAGGAUUUGAUUGUGGUAAAUUGACCAAGAAGUUAAAGCUCUACUCAUUAGAUCCAGAAAUUGAAAGACUGGUCAACCACUUAGAAAUCAAGAAAACUACUCAAUUGAGUGUGAAGCAAAUUGAACUCCCUCAAACUCACACAAGAUUACCACCUUCCCUUGUUCAACCCCCGGAUUUGGAGUUAAAAGUCCUUCCUCAACAUUUGAAGUAUGCGUACUUAGGCAACAACGAGACUCUUCCAGUCAUCAUUUCAACUCACUUAACCGAAAAUGAAGAAGAGCAACUCCUAGAAGUGUUGAAGGAGCAUAAAGAAGCAAUGGUUUGGACGAUUGCAGAUAUCAAAGGGUUGAGCCCCUCCACUUGCAUGCACAAGAUUUUGAUGGAGGAGGAUUGCAAACCAAGCCGGGACGCACAAAGAAGAUUGAACCCACCAAUAAUGGAAGUGGUAAAGAAAGAAAUUUUGAAACUCCUUGAUGCAGGUAUGAUCUAUCCAAUCUCGGAUAGCAAGUGGGUGAGCCCGGUGCAAGUGGUGCCGAAAAAGACGGGAAUCACAGUGGUCGAAAACAACAAAGGUAUGAUGGUCCCCACCCGCGUACAAAACGGGUGGAGAGUGUGUAUUGACUACCGUAAACUCAAUACAAGUACAAGAAAAGAUCAGUUCCCAUUGCCUUUCAUUGAUCAAAUGUUAGAAAGGUUGGCCAGGAAAUCCCAUUAUUGUUGUCUAGACGGGUAUUCUGGUUUUCACCAAAUCCCGGUGACACCGGAAGACCAAGAAAAGACAACAUUUACAUGUCCAUUUGGCACUUUUGCAUACCGGAGAAUGCCAUUUGGAUUGUGUAACGCCCCGGCCACUUCCCAACGUUGUAUAGUUAGUAUUUUCUCAGAAUAUGUCGAAAAUAUAAUUGAGGUUUUUAUGGAUGAUUUCACGGUAUAUGGCAACUCCUUUCAAGAGUGUUUGACCAAUCUCACAAAAAUUUUGAAAAGAUGCAUUGAAAAGAAUUUGGUUUUAAAUUUUGAGAAAUGUCAUUUUAUGGUGAGCCAAGGUCUUAUUUUGGGUCACAUUGUGUCAAAGAAAGGAAUUGAGGUGGAUAAGGCCAAAAUAGACAUUAUUAAAAGCUUACCUUACCCGACUUGUGUUCGGGAAGUUCGAUCUUUUUUGGGCCAUGCAGGUUUCUACCGGAGAUUUAUCAAGGACUUUUCAAAGAUAACAAGACCAAUGUGCCAACUCUUGCAAAAAGAAGUUGAUUUCGACUUUAAUGAAGCAUGCAAAGAAGCUUUCAACAAGCUCAAGGAAUUGCUUACGUCCGCUCCUAUCAUGCAAGCACCAAAUUGGGAUCUCCCUUUUGAGAUCAUGUGUGAUGCAAGCAAUUAUGCUGUUGGCGCCGUUUUGGGUCAAAAGGAUGGAAGAGCACCCCAUGUGAUCCAUUAUGCAUCAAGGACACUAGACAAUGCUCAAAGCAAUUACUCCACCAUGGAGAAGGAGUUAUUGGCCAUAAUGUUCGCCUUGGAGAAAUUCAGACAAUACCUUCUCGGUACAAAGAUCAUUGUGUAUUCGGAUCACGUGGCACUCAAAUACUUGAUGAAAAAGAAAGAUGCAAAGCCGAGACUCAUCCGGUGGAUUUUAUUGUUACAAGAGUUCGAUUUGGAAAUCCGAGACAAGAAAGGAUGUGAAAAUCUUGUUGCCGACCAUCUAAGCUGAAUCGCUUCAAAUGAAACUCUCCUCCCGUUGAGGGACGAGUUUCCAGAUGAGCAUCUUUUUUCCCUUACUCAAUCCAUUCCAUGGUAUGCUGAUAUCGUUAACUUUUUGGUCACAAAAAGGCAUCCCGACACAUUCACACGUGCUCACAAAGACAAGUUGAAAAGUGAUGCAAAACAUUAUGUGUGGGAUGAACCUUACUUGUGGAAACAUUGUCCCGAUCAAAUCAUUAGACGAUGUGUACCCCAACAAGAGCAUAAAUCAAUUUUACAAUUUUGCUAUGAAUUUGCUUGUGGGGGACACUUCGGACCUAACAGGAUCUUGAGAAAGGUCCUUGAAUGUGGACUAUUUUGGCCAACCAUGUCACGCGAUUGUUACUUGUUUUGCAAAAGCUGUGAACGGUGCCAAAAGACGGGGAAUAUUUCACAAAAGAACCAAAUGCCACAAAAUCCAAUCCUUAUUUGUGAAAUUUUUGACGUAUGGGGGAUUGGUUUUAUGGGCCCAUUCCCUGUCUCGUUUGGCAAUGUUUACAUCUUGCUCGCAGUUGACUAUGUUUCAAAGUGGGUUGAAGCCAAAGCCACAAGAUCGGAUGAUGCCAAAACAGUUAUCGAAUUUUUAAAAUCUAAUAUCUUUUUUAGGUUUGGUGUACCUAGGGCUUUGAUCAGUGGUCGAGGGACGCACUUUUGUAACAAAAUGAUGGAGGCUUUACUGAAGAAAUACAACGUGACUCACCGUGUUUCAACCGCCUACCACCCUCAAACGAAUGGUCAAGAUGAAGUUUCAAACCGUGAGGUGAAGAGCAUACUUGAGAAAACAGUAAAUCCCUCAAGAAAAGAUUGGAGUUCAAGGCUUGACGAUGCCUUGUGGGCCUAUCGGACCGCGUACAAAACUCCGAUAGGAAUUUCUCCGUUUAGGUUGGUCUUUGGGAAACCUUGUCAUCUUCCCAUGGAAUUGGAACACCGCGCAUUCUGGGCGGUCAAGCGAUGCAAUUUAAAUAUCGAUGAUGCGGGAAUAAAUAGGAAGCUUCAACUUCAGGAGUUGGAGGAGUUGAGAAAUGACUCCUAUGAAAACUCAAGAAUCUACAAGGAAAAGACAAAGCUUUUUCAUGACAAGUCCAUUACCCGCAAGCACUUCGAACCGGGAAAUAGGGUUUUGCUUUACCAUUCGCGAAUGAAAUUAUUUCCUGGGAAGUUGAGAUCAAGAUGGAUAGGUCCAUUUAUCGUGCUAAAAGUCUUUGAGCACGGAGCAGUCGAAAUCCAAAGUGAAGAAACGAGGCAAGUCUUUAAAGUCAAUGGGCAUCGUUUGAAACCUUUCUAUGAAGGUUUUAACGCGAAUGUCCUAGAUAUCAUCCAAUUGGAUGCCCCGGUUUAUUGAAGUCAAAAGUGAAGCACGUCUCGCCAAAGAUGUUAAAGAGGGGCAUUUUUGGAAAGCUAUGCUUUCAAAUAAACGUGUGUUUAAAAAAAUGGUCGAUAAAACCAGCGGCCCGCGUGAAGAUUGUGAAGAAAUGACAUGCGACCCGCGUAGAGAAAACUCCACCCAGCCCGUUCAGCAACCGCGGCUGACCCGCGACCCGAGCUAUACCCGCGCUUGAAACAGAAUGGUUAGAUCGAUUUUGAGCUGCUAGACGCGGCCUGCACGCGGCCCGCGCCUAGCUCGCGUGUAGGUCGUUUGACUGAUUUCUUGAGCUGUAGACUUAUGUUGACCACGGGUUAAAUUGUUUGACCAACUAAAAACCAGGUUUGACCUCCAUUGACCAAGGAUUAAACACACCCCAACACCUUUCUUAUUCUCUAAACCCCAAGAACUUCAACAUUUUCUCUCAAGAAACUCAAGAACACCAUAACCCACUCCUCACAAAAAUCAAUUUUCCCGGAGUUCUACCGGUCGGAAUCUCGUGAAACCACCGCCAUUCUUCACCAUUUUUCAUCCUCUACAAACCCCAUCCAAAAUCCGGUCCGAUCUGUGGCCGGAAUUCCGGGUGACACCACCACCCACCACCACCUUCUUUCGCGUUUUCCGGCAAACUCCGGCCACCAUUGAAGAAUCCGAGCACGGGGUUUUGUUUCUCUCCUCAAGGGAUUUCUAAUCAUAACAAUCUUUAAGGAAAAGCUCACGAAAAAUUUCCAUCAAAUUCCGGGUACCGCCAUUCUAAUCAACGGAAAUUCAUCUUCAAGCUCGUUUGAGGGGUUGUUUAAGAGUUUAAAUCAUCAAAUACGGAGCAAAAUUGCAAAAUUGUAAGCUUGGGGUGUGUCUUGACGACAUCCUUUGGGUGGCACUAAUCGUCUAAGCAAUUUGGUACUUUCACUCCUUAAUCUUGAUUAUUUGCAUUAGUGGUAUUGUUGAUAAAAUUUGUCCAAAGAAAAUGUCAAAAGGUACCAAAACGGGGACAGGAGCUACUUCCUCCAAAAGAGGAUCAAAAGGAAAAUCAAAUAAUCCCCCGUUUCGUUUGACAAAUCGUGAGAUCGAAAGACAUAUGACUUUCUCGUUUCCAAUAAACGACAAGUCAAGUCGACAAAAUUCCUCCAUAGGGAAACUUUUGACAGUCUUGGAGUACUAGAGGGAGUCCAAGCUUUGUUCAACAACAUCGGAUGGGGACAAUUCCUCUAUAACCGAGCAACAACUUAUGUUGAACCUACCUUGGAAUUUCUUGCCACAUUCAACCCCGGUGACGAUACUGAAACCGUCACUUUCCAAAUGCUCGGCGAGAGAUGAUCACUACCACAUCGGGUCGUGAACGCCUUGUUGGGCACUCCCGUGGAAAACCUUUAUUAUCAACAAAAACCAUGGCCCGAGGAAUUCAAUGAACAUUACUUUUGGCAACAAAUUACAAAUGAGCAGCAAUAUUCAUCGUCUUCCUUGAAGGCCUCAUCCAUAAUCCAUCCAUGUUUGUGCCUAGCGCAUCGAGUGCUCACAUGCACCAUUUUUGCCCGAGCCGAAGUGGGACAAAUCUCAAAGGCAAAAUUAUUCUUCCUUUGGUGCAUGACUCGUGAGAAUGGCCCAAGGCCGGAUUUUGCCUCCUUUUUCUUUACCAAAUGUUACAACCUAACGACUAUGGAUAAAGGAGACAUCUUCAUUGGGGGAUUGAUCACUCUUCUUGCUUCAUGGCCCCCGCUUCAACUUCAUCUUUCUACUCUACCAUUUGAGAGGGCUGUCGGACCAUCUAGCCUUGAUGGCAACGCACUAAGGCGGAUGCAACUCAUCCGGGAUUCGGUGGUUGGUACCAUGUGGAUCCUCGACAACCAACCAUACAUCCUUCUUCCACACGAAUAUAGGGUGUUUUGAUCCAACCGAUCCCGAUCAAUGGAUCAUUCCUUCCAAUUACCCUCCUCCUGUGGAUAAUGAAGAUGAUCAAUUCCAACACCCACAACAUCAAGCCGAGCCCCAAUUCCAGCCACAGCAGCAGGGAGGACAAGAAAUACCACAAUAUUUCCCCCCUAUGUUCUUUGAACAAUUCAACACAAUGUUCUCCACGGUACAACGCAUCGAUACCCAAACGCAGGAGAACACCAGAGCCAUCCAAGAUGUGGCUACACGUGUCGAAUGGCUGGAGCAAUCAUUCCCACCCACUUCCCACCAGGUCCAAGAUAUGUGGGACUACCACUAUCGCCAUGGGCAUUUCCCGCCGCCCGACCCCCCGAUUUAGGUCAUUUUCGCCCUUUCCUUAAGCAUUGAGGACAAUGCUUGUUCUUAAGCUUGGGGUGCGGCACUUAUCUUUUCUUUUUAAUUUUUCAUGCAUUGUUUUUAACUAGGUUGCAUAACAUUUUAGUUUUAAGCUAAUUUUCAUUAAAUUUUUAAUUAUAAAAUUCCAAUAAGAUUUUAUUUUCUUCUUUUCCACUUUUUAUUUUUUUAGCCUUGGGAAUUAGCAUUCAUGCAUUUUUGUUAUCUGUUUAUUCUCACCUCCUUGGAUGCCAUGGAACAAGUUCAAAGUUAUUAUAUCAUUAUUGGUCCAGGAUCUUGUUGCUAUCUCACCCAUCGAACCGGGACCACUAGCUGCAGUUUGGGAUUUCAUACUUGGGAUCAGAUGCUGGUAGCUUAACGGGGUAAGUGAUCAUGUCCAGGUAGUUUUAUGAAGAAUUAUGCAUACAAUACUAUCAAUUGUAGGAUAUAUUAUAGCAAUGGAUGUUCUUAGCCUUGCGGUCACUACCGCUGAGAGGAUCACACUUGAUCAUGUUUGAACUGUUAGGAUGAAGCACUGGUGCUUGUCCCCGAGUAGAAUCCAUAUCCGGUCUCUUUACAUCACCAUAUCUUUUUGCGAUUUUCUUAGGAUUUUAGAGACUCAUUUAGUCCACAUUUGGACAAUUUUUGUUAUAGUUGAAAAAAAAUCACAAGUUUGAAAAGGAGCUUACAUCCCUAUGCUCCACACAUGGUCGUUUUCACACUUAGACCAUUCGGAUUAUUAUUAACCUUUCGGUUCCACAUACAUACCUUUGGGAACCAAAUAUGUUAAAAAAAAUCAAGAAAAAUUCCAAUCAACAAUUAUCCUAGAUGGGUGACCAGUUCAAUCAUUGAACAAAUUUUCCUAGAUUGUGGUCACCCGGUGUUUGAUGUUCAAUUAUUUAGGCAUGUUUUAUUGUAUAUAGAUUGAGUUAUUUUUCGCAAAUUGGUGAUGUUUUGGAGACUGUCGAGUCGGAUACUACGGGAGUUUUGGGCCAACACUAAGUGAACUGAUUCCUACAACGGUGCCCGAGCGAUUAAACCCAAAUUACACAUGAGAGUGGCCGAAAGACGUGAGAUCAGAGUGUACACUGAAAAGAAGAGCUCCACACGAGCCCAUCCAGUUGCUUUCUCCCCACCACAGAUGUUAUUCAUUAUAUGCAUGUUCCAUUGAGGCUGCAACCGACCAUCCCUCCUUACUCACCUAGAGGAGUUGUCCUAGCUGCGGUUUAUGGUCCCAUUGUCAUCGGAUGAAAAAUUUGUGAGAUAGCAGCAAAAUCAAUUCUAAUCAUGUUGACUAACGAUGAACAGGUUCCAUGGUUCUAUCCAUUCUUUUUAUUUUUAGGGUAGUUCAUCCCGAGUUCAUUUUAGUCUUAUCUUACUUGAGGACAAGUAAGGUUUAAGCUUGGGGUGAUUUGAUAGCUUCAUUUUAUUCACUUCUUUUUCUAGUUUAUUGAGCAUAUUUCAUUCACAUUUUAAUUAAUUUCCAUGCAUAUUUUCCUUUUUGUUAUUUUAUGACCACUUUCGGGUACUUUGUAGUUUCGUGAGUAUAAAUGCAGAUUUUAAGGAGACUAGCAAAGCUGGAUCUUUUGGGAAGCAACUGGGCUUGAAGAGCAAUAGGGAUUUAAUGCUUGAUGACUAUGGAGGAUCGAUGAUCAAGAGUUCAAAGAAGCCAUAAAUGAUUUGGAAGAGUCAAAUUGGGCUCAAAUUGAAGAGAACUUAAAGAAAGAUGGGCUAGAAGCUGAUUAGACUCGAAAUGGACCAAUGAACUAGCUGUGGGAGCCCAAGACAUGAGGAAACCCAAAAUACGUACCUAGUUCACGCGGCCCGCGUGGGAAUACCCGCGACCCGCGUAGAUGAUGCUGAUGAAGAUCUGACUUUUUCACAUGUGGCUCUAUUAUUGGAUGCUUAGUUGGUAUCUUUUGGUGGCUUUUUAAAUCCGAAAAUUGGUCUUUUUGGCUAGAAAAUAUAUGUACUUUUCAUGCCCAUCCCUCAAAUAAUUGCUCCUCUUACUAUAAAAGGGAGGGAGGACAAUGGAAGAAACACACAAUACACUACAAUCAUCAAAGAAGCUAGAGAGAAGUUAAAGGCUUUUGAAAGUCUUGAAGAUUGGUGGAAACUCUUUCCAUUCCAUAUCUAAAGACAAUUUUUGGUAUCACUAAAUUCUUUUCUAUGUGUUUUGUUAUGGCCAUGCUUGGCUAAAUUCUUAUUUGGUUGACUUGGAUGUAAUUGCUUUAAUGUUUUGGUUAUUUUGAAGAACUCCAUGAACUUAUGUUGAAUAUCUAUGAUUAUAUUUUCUAUAAAAACUUCCUUUAUGUUUAUAUUUCUCUAGUCAUGAAUAUUGAUUUAUGAAUAUUGUUUUGUUGGUUAAAUUCUUGACUAAGUAAUGGGUCUUCAAUUUAACAAGCAACAAUUAGUUUAAAUGUUUGUUUUCAUUUCAUUUAAACUAAGAAAACAUUUUCUCCAUAGUGGUAAUGAAAGAAAUAGAUUACUCUUUGGAUUUGGUGACUCUUAAAUCCUAAUGUUAAUUGAUUUUCACAAGAUUACAUGCUUCAUUAGUUUUGUGACUUUGAUUAAAGAAAUGUGCUAUGAGCUUCUCUAGUCAUUUUAAUACAAAAGAAGAGUUGAGGCAAGUUAUGCUUAUAAAUUGCUAUAGCCAAGUUAGAUCAUAAACACAAGUAUUGCACCUUGGCAUUCUCAUGAUUAUUUAACCAAAUGUUAAAGUAAUGAAAUUCCAAUGUCAACCAUCUUUCUCUCAUUGAUUUUAUAUCAAAUUCUUAAUUUUGUUGAAUUGUCCAAUUAAUUAUAAUUUUAUUUCAAGUACUUCCAAAAUAUCAAAAUCCCCAUCUUUUAUUCUUAUUGUUAUUUUACAAGUAUUUGUACAAAAAAGAUUAUCAUAGAUGUUGGAUUAAUGUCUAAGUCCAUAACUAUAAUUGGUAAGACUUGACCCGACCCGGCAUGGUCCAUUUGGGUUGCAUACCAUCAUGCACUUGGAUAGACUAUAAUGAGAGAAAUAAGACACUUAUGGUUAUUAAUAUAUUAUAAGUUCUAGUAUAUUAAUAAUAAGAAUAAUAAGAUUAUUUAAUUAGUAUUGAUCAAGAAUUAAUCUAGGAUUAAUUAAGUGAUCAAAAGAAGACUAAUUAAAUAUAUGGGUUGAUUGUGUAAAUCAUCCAUACUUGUAUAGUGGGCUAAUGUUCCAUGGAUAAUCAAGUUGGGCUAAAACCCAUAGGAUGGUCCAUGGAUGCUCCAUGGUGUAUUUGUACCCAUGGAUCAUGGAAAUGAAAGGCCAUGUCAAUUAGGGUUUACAUGGUGUAACCCUAACUAUAUAAGCAUCUUAUUCUUGACCAAAAUCGGCCACUAGUGUGUGAAGUAAAAGGGCUAGCCGAUUUCAUGAGUUGUAGAAUUCUCUCAAGUUAUUCUAAGUGUUUUGGUGAUUGUGAUUCCAUUUGAGGCUUCCACACUAUUGGGGCUAGGCACUCAAGCUUCAUGAAGACUUUCUACAUCAAAGAGGUAUGUAUUCUAUCUUGUUACACUCAUUGUUUUGUAUGCUAGAUUAGGAUAAUACCUUGGAAGUUCUUAUUUGCAUGUAUAAUAGAGAAAACAUAGAUCCAAGGUAUUUAGGGUUGCAUGUACACUUAGGAGUGUUAGAAUGCUCAAAACCCAACAGUGGUAUCAGAGCCUAGGCUUGUUUUCUUGUUAUACCUGCAAUAGAAGCUGAAAAAACGAAUUUGGUGCUGUCUGAUCAUCAGACUCGGCGAGUCCAUCAGAGGACUCGGCGAGUCCAUGCCUAAAAUGUGAUCAAUUCGAUCCAACUCGCCGAGUUGGUUCAUGCACUCGACGAGUUGGACCCCCAGACAGCAUAUUUUCGAGUUUUUUGGCUAGAAAUGGACUAGGAACAUUACCCUAAGUUGUUUUUGAACUUAUAAACUUGUUUUUGAUGUGGUAAUGUUCAUGCUAAUCCAUUUUCAAAGAUAAUUGUCAAUAGAUUCAUGUUUUGUAUUAGUUUAAGGUUUAGACUAAUUACAUGAAAAAGUUUGAUUUGAAUUAUCUUGUUCUUAUGAGUUGCUUAGAUUAAUAGAAAAGUUGAGUGAAAUAGUUGUUUUCAAUCCAUUUUAAUCUAAGAGUUGAGUAUAAAAUGUGUUUGUGUAACUUGUCCUCAAGUUACAUGAAGAGUCACAUUAAAGACUCAUAAAACUCAUAAAAGUUGGCAAUGGUUACAAAAUGAAGAGUCUUGUGUCAUUGAAUAAUUUUUUUUGACUCCAUAACUUGUCCUCAAGUUAUGGAAGUUCAAGAGUCACUUCAUUAAAGAAAAAUAUGUAACCAUAAUUAAAUCCAUAAGUUAUAAAAUAAAGAAAAAGUUAGUUCUUUUAUUAGUUUAAAGUCUUCCAUAACUUGUCCUCAAGUUAUGGAACUUGAAGAGUUUUUGGAUUAAAACUACUUUAAACACAUAAGUUAUGGAAUUAAUUAGUUUUGAAUAGUUUCAAAACUUGCCCUCAAGUUUUGGAAUUUGAAAAGUUUUCAAGUAUGAAUACUUUAAUUCCAAGUUAGCCCUUAGAAUUUUAAAAGUUAAAAUUCAACCCUUAUACUUUAUAAUAUUAUAAGUUAAUAAUAUAUAUAUGUAUAAGAGUAAAGUCAGUCUUACCGCUAGUACGCCUCAUUCACGAAGCCGGUCUAUAAGGUGGGUAUAAGGUUGUUGCCUAUAAAAUGGCAACUUAAUGGGUGUCCACUCUCACCCACCGCUUGCUUGACUGGUGGAGGGUCGUUAGCCGAACGGGUUUGACAGGACUAGAAUUCUCCCUUCAUUAAAAGUAUUAAUGAUAAUACUAAGUAACUAAACUCUUAAUAAUACCCAAUCUUAGUUACUUAGGAAAAAUGUGAAUAAGGUGCUAAUCCAUGAAAUUACACUUUACACUUUGUCUAAGUCGUUAGUGGAGCGUGUGUGGUUAACCGGCACACUAACUUGGACUUAACAAGGUAGGUAAAGGGUGACUUAAUAUUUAUCAUAGUAUCGAUGGAGCGUGUGUGGUUAACCGGCACAUCGAUUGAGGGGUAAUUUAUUAAGGGUACCAAGUGAUUUGCAUGGUUACUUCACACCUUGUUUUGUGAUCCUCGGCAUCCCAGUCACAAAACCUGAAGGGCACACUCGAGAUUGAAACAUGCCUUUGAAAAGUUCAAUGAAUCUCAAAGAUCUAGGAGUUUCAAAACCAAUUAAAACCUAAUAAUACAUUUCGUUUAUCUUGGUGGAAAUUGGUGAAUCGUCAUUCACCUACCUUCAAAUAUUUUAUAGCUUGGAUUACGGCAUACCUCUUCUAAGUUAUAAAAUAGUUUGUUGGGUCCUAGCCUUAAUAUUUCAUAUUGGGUGUCAUAUUAAGGACUUUAAAUCAACUAUCUUGAAUAUCUCCCAAAAGAUGUCUGGUUUAGACACCUAUGAUCUUCCCAAAUCUCUUGAAACAAGGUUUCCUAAUGAAGAUGAUGUCCCAUGGAUAUCAUACUUCUUCACCUCUUCAAAUUAUUCUCCCUAACCCACAAGUUCUUGAAAAGUUUAAGGUCACUCAGGCCCUAUUGGCAAGGCAAGGUCUAGGUGUGGUCACAUCUUGGAGAUGUAGUCACAUAUUGACAAGCCGGGAGAGUUGGGUGUCAAAGUCUUGAGAAAGUUGGUGGUUCAACCACUUUCUAAGUCACAUAGUGAGUUCCUUUGGGACACCUAUGAAACAGACUAUGACAAGACCCUUAAUGAUCUUAUCUAUUUGCUAAGAUCAACUUCCUAAAACUUUAUGGACAUUGACAAUGAUGACAUUGGAUAUCCAGUAAAGCAUUCUCUUCCCAAUGGAAAGGGAUCGGCCAUAGUCAACUCGGUUGACCAAAUGGUAAAGAGAAAAGCUAAGUCUGUGAUAGUCCCGUGUACCAUUAUCAAAGGGUCCAUAUGUUUAUAUUGCCAAAGGAAGGGGCAUUGGUUGCGAAGCUGCCAAAUUUACCUAAGGAUGUUAAAGUCAAUAAGUUUGACUCUACUUCAGGUAAAGUCCACUAUCUAACUCUGUUAAGUUUCUAUUCUGAGAUUCUUGAUACAUGAUGUGACUGGGUCACAUGGUGAUGUUUUAAGAAUCAAAGAAAAGUGAAGAAACUUAAAGAAAGAAUAUGCUGAAUCUGAUGGCGUAGAUGGAUUUCUAUCGCAUAGUUUGAAGAUCGGAUUCUUGAGCUACUUCUUAGGAGUUAUGAGAUAUUGCUUAGGAAUAGAUAACAACAAGUUUUCAUAUGGAUUGUAAGGAUAAGUUUUUCCGCAAAGUUUUAAAAUAAAAGAAAAUUUUUUAUUUUAUUUAUUUUAAAAUAUCCUUACAAUGGCAUUUGAGGAAAAAUUGUUGCUUAUAUGAUUCCAUUAAGAGCAAGAGUGGAAAUAUGAAAUUGAUUCUUUCAUUUGUGGUAAUGUCUAAAUUUACCAAAUAAGGAAAGAUUCUCAUCACCCAAGUUUCAAUUGGACCGGAACUUGGAAUCAUGCAAGUUGUAUAGCAUGAUGAAUGAGAACUUUCAAGUUUUGGAAAAUUAAGACUAAUUACUUGUUCACAUGGAUGUGUGAGUCAAGUAAAGGACUUAGGGAUCGAGUACACAUUCUUGUGCACUGAUUAAGUCCACCACUAAAGAUCGAUAAGAAGAAUCAAAUAAGGCAGAAGGAUAAAAGUUUCUCAAAUCUGAAAAGAUGGGAGAGUACUUUAGUAUCAGUUUUGUGAUCAUCUUAAUGAUUAAGAAACCAUAUCAAAAUUAGUUCUCUAAGGAAAUCUUAGUGCAUUCUUAUGACUAAGAAGAGGAACUUGAAUUGUUGAAAUGGUUAAAUCAAGAAGAUGAGUCAUACUUCGUUCCAAUACAAGUCUUAGAGUCAUACUCCAAGAUUGUCAUUUGAGUGACAUGUCUUAAAGAAGGUUUAAAACACUUGUCAAAUGUAAGAGUAAAAGUUUUCUACUCUUGUACAUUUGAAAUUGGUAAGUUGUGAUGUUUUGGAUAAAACAAAGACCAACUUAGGCCAAUUGGGUAAAGUGUUUUUCUUGAUUAGAAUCCGCACUAUCUCUUGGAUGUUUGACAAGGGAGUCUUAUAUGUCAAGAGGACAGUGGGAGUCUUAAAGGUCUUGAAAGUCUCAAGAAAUAAUCAAGAAUAAAACCUAAAGUUCUUCACUAGCACACGACUUGAGGUUUAUAACCUAUCGUGUUGACAUAUCUGUGCCCAUUCCAGUUAAAGUUGGCUUUGCAUAUGAGUUCUUAGAGUUCUCAGUUUGUUGCAUAACAACUUGGAAGCAAUGGCAGGCCCUUGAGCUGCCAGGUGGCAAGAAGUUAAGAUUGAGUUCAAUCCAUAUGGUUUUGGAUUUGUCAUUAUCUUUGUCUUGUGAUUAUGGUUUGACAAAUUCAUAUGGGUAGGAACUCAUACACCAUAUAAAUCUAAGUGUCAUAAGGUUUCUCUCCGAUUCAUGAAAAUGAUGGUGAGGAAACGCUUUCACUAAGUAGAUUUUACGAAGAUAUCAAUUGUGUUAUUUGCAUUUUCAAAAGUCGUUAGUGGAGCGCGUGUGGUUAACCGGCACACUAACAUGGACUUGUGAGAAAUGGCAAAUGCCUAAGCAAUUGAGACCAUGAUUACGGUAUCCCUUUUCAUGGUUCUUGAAAUUGCUUAGACACACAGGUGAGCUAUCUACGGAAAGGGUGUAUGAAUCUAAAUUUCAGACUGUCCAGCUGAUUUCUGAGUACAUGUCAAAGCUAGUGGGAGCAUAAGUGUUAUGCUAAUAAUCAUCAUGUUAGUGGGAGCAUGAUAAUUAUGAUAAGUAUUGCAAGUUAGCAAUGUUAAUUAUAGAAAACAAAAGUUUCAAUUGGGAAAAAGUUGUUUUGCUAUAAUUAAGGGAGAGGAAAUUAUGCUUCAUCUCAAAUCUAUAAGCUUAGAUCGUGAGGUUUUAAUCAUUUAGUCAAGGAUAUAUAUGAAUUUCAUGUUGGAAUGGCUCAACAUAAGGAAAUUCUGUAUAUGGGUCCAUUAUUUGCGUUCUAAAAUUCGAUUAUGAUUACGGCAUCCCUUUUCAUAAUCUGAAUUAUGAGAACUUGGCAAAUAGAAAUGGAAAUGUUAUAGCAAAAGACUGGUUUAGUCUUUAUGUGAGACAUCAUGAAUCGUGUCCCAUAUGCUUCGGAUAUAGGAUCGAUUACAUGUGCUAUAUUCAUCCGUUCUAAAAUUUUCCAAAUGCCUGGGGCAUUAAGAAGGGAAAAGGUUUAGAACUGGAUAUGACUAAAAGGAUUAAACAAUUGUCGAGGACAGUCUAAGGUUUACCAAAGAUUGGUUGCUCAAGGACAGUUGGAAGUAUAGUGAUAAUUCUGGAAGGACCAUAUUGACAUAGUCUGUAAGGAGGCAACUCUUGGUCAGAAGUGAUAGCCAAAAAUGGAAUCUGGAAAUGUUUCAGAGUUAGAAUUUUCAAUCUGUGUAAGAUUAAGGAAACUUAGUGCAAGAAGGAUGUUUCCAUGGAACUGAUCUCCUUUGGAAUGCUCUGUAAUCAUUAUGAGAGGAUCAAUGCAUAUAAGUUUAGAAUCUAAAAGAUUUCAGUAAAUGGCACGAAUUUGGAAUUCUUGCAUUUGCGGUAAGGAUUUGGGAGUGUGAAAAGAGAAUCAUUGAAGUUAUGUUCAAUUGAUCUAGUUCACAAAGUAAAGAUCAUAGACAAACAUAGUAUGCAUACUUGGUGUGUGGCAUGACUAGUGUUUAGAAAACCUAGUGUACAUGCUUGGAGCAUGGGACAACUAUUGUUUUAAAUUCAAGAAUAAAGUUGAUAGCUGAAACAGUAUACAAUGAAUAAUGUGUAAUCAUAUGGUGAUAAAUAAAAGGUGUUUUAUUUAUGUUCAAAGGGUUGAUACCAUAUUGGAUUCAAUUAUUAUUGUGUUUCAUUUUGCAUGUUUUGACUUCCCGAAUAAACUGGGUUAUUCUUCCGGAAUGACUAAGUUAUUCAAACCAUCCACAGUCGGUCAUAUGUUGGAAGUAGAUAUGAAUUAAGACUGUCAUGGGUUGGCUUGUAGAGGUCUAAGGUGUUGGACAAAGGGCUACAACACUCAUGAGUGCUCAUAAGUUCUGAGUAUUGGAUUCAACCCGCGCUCAUUGGAAUCACUUCAUGGAUUUUAUCACGAGUGAUCAUGAGACGAUAAUAUCUUAUAUUCUUCAAACCUAGAGAUAUGAGUUGUUACUAUGAGUUGAUAGUACAUUGAUUGCACGAAAACGCAUUUGGUAACUCGGUGCUAUAAAACGUGCCUUUGUGUAUGAUUCAACAAGUAGUAGAACAAGCCAUAUGAGUCGAAGUUUAUCCAUUCCUUUUACCUUCGGGAUAAAAGCGAUAUCUGUGGGCCCCUCGAUGAUUUGAUGAUGACAAAUGGAAGUGCUCGGCCGGGCCAGGACUGAUUUGAUUUGUUCAAUUAGUCAGUCGUCAUAAAUCGGAAAUCGGGAAACAACAAAUGGACAGAGAGAAUGAUUAUAAUCCAUGUCUCAGUCCAUAUGAUAUCUAGAAUGGAGGAAUAUAUGAUCCCUUAUCUAAUGGACAAGUCAUUGACAAAGGUCAGAGUUCAUCUACAAGGUCAGAGUUCGACAGAAGCUUUUGAGAGCUACGAUUGCCAGUUGGUUCCUGAAGUCAUACGCAAUAAUAGUUUUAGACUUAUCCAAGUGGGAGACUGUUGGAUUAAUGUCUAAGUCCAUAACUAUAAUUGGUAAGACUUGACCCGACCCGGCAUGGUCCAUUUGGGUUGCAUACCAUCAUGCACUUGGAUAGACUGUAAUGAGAGAAAUAAGACACUUAUGGUUAUUAAUAUAUUAUAAGUUCUAGUAUAUUAAUAAUAAGAAUAAUAAGAUUAUUUAAUUAGUAUUGAUCAAGAAUUAAUCUAGGAUUAAUUAAGUGAUCAAAAGAAGACUAAUUAAAUAUAUGGGUUGAUUGUGUAAAUCAUCCAUACUUGUAUAGUGGGCUAAUGCUCCAUGGAUAAUCAAGUUGGGCUAAAACCCAUAGGAUGGUCCAUGGAUGCUCCAUGGUGUAUUUGUACCCAUGGAUCAUGGAAAUGAAAGGCCAUGUCAAUUAGGGUUUACAUGGUGUAACCCUAACUAUAUAAGCAUCUUAUUCUUGACCAAAAUCGGCCACUAGAGCGUGAAGUGAAAGGGCUAGCCGAUUUCAUGAGUUGUAGAAUUCUCUCAAGUUAUUCUAAGUGUUUUGGUGAUUGUGAUUCCAUUUGAGGCUUCCACACUAUUGGGGCUAGGCACUCAAGCUUCAUGAAGACUUUCUACAUCAAAGAGGUAUGUAUUCUAUCUUGUUACAUUCAUUGUUUUGUAUGCUAGAUUAGGAUAAUACCUUGGAAGUUCUUAUUUGCAUGUAUAAUAGAGAAAACAUAGAUCCAAGGUAUUUAGGGUUGCAUGUACACUUAGGAGUGUUAGAAUGCUCAAAACCCAACAAUAGAGUUAUACAAUUAAACCAUUCCCCGUGGAUUCGAUCCCUUUACCACUAUACACUAUUUUAGAGUGUAACAUUUAGGGUAUUUAUUUUGUUGGCCUCGACACCCAUCAAAAACUCAUCCGACUCACCGAGUUGUUCUUCAACUCGUCGAGUCUUAUGGUGAUCUUCAUCGGACUCGUCGAGUUGUUCAUCCAACUCGUCGAGUUCACGACCAUCUUCAUGUGACUUGCCGAGUCAACCUUGCGACUCGUCGAGUCCAUUCAGUCCUUUUUCCAUACAGACUUGCUUUGAGCCAUGCAUACAUAGCUACAAAGGUUCUAAAUGCCAUUUCUAAGCUCUUAAUAGAACUUCAUGGUCAAGAGGGACCUCAAUCAUAACCAAUACAGCAACUUUAUGAUUCUAGAAUCCAAGGAGGAUCCAGAUCUGAAGUUACAAUUUCAGAUCUAGCCCAUAGGUCAUGUGUCCAACUUAACCCCCCCCCCCCUCAAAAAAAACCCCUAGAACUCAACCAAUAGAAGAGAUUUACAAGGAAAAAGGCGAUUUGGUUACCUCUAGAAGAUGAUAAAUGAGAUAAGAGAUGAUUCCCACACUCCACUUGCUCCAAUCUCCUUCUCCUCCAAGCCUUCUUCCUCCAAAGAUUCUAUUUUCAAGCUUCAAUCACACAAUGGGCACACACACUCAUGUAUUAGGGUUUUAAGAGCUCUCAAGGACUGCAAAGAGGCCAAAGGAGGCUGAGGCUCCUUUAAAUAGGGGUGCAAACCCCGGGAUUUAGGGUUUCAUCUGCCAGUUCCUACUCGCCGAGUCCCAAAGUGGACUCGUCGAGUAGGUCACUUAACACGCGAUCCCACCCCCGUUGCUACUCGACGAGUCGGUCGACCUACUCGUCGAGUAUAGCUUCAUCUAAAAAUUCUUAUAUAAAUAAUACCUGGGAAUCGGGGCGUUACAACUCUCCUCCACUUGAACUAGACUUCGCCCUCGAAGUCCGUUGGAAUAAACAAUGUUAGGUAAUGCUCGCGCAUCUCCGCUUCUGGCUCCCAUGUCCACUCGGAUCCCCUCCGAUGCUCCCACUGUACCUUUACCAAAGGUAUUUCCUUGUUUCGAAAAAUCUUCUUCUUCCUUUCCAAAAUAGUUAUAGGCCUCUCCACAUAGUUCAAGCAAUCAUCGACCUGAAUGUCAUCCAACGGUACCACUGCCUCCUGGUCCAUAAUGCACUUUCGCAAUUACAAAACAUGAAAUGUGUUGUGGAUCCGGCUAAGCUCCUCCGGAAGCUCUAGCCUAUACGCCACCCUGCCAACCCUGGCAACAACCCUGAACGGCCCAAUGUAAUGAGGACCCAAUUUUCCCCUCUUCCUGAAGCGGAUCACUCCCUUCCAGGGUGAGACCUUUAGGAGAACUAUGUCACCCACCUGAAAUUCCAACUCAGAUCGACGUCGGUCGGCAUAACUUUUCUGCCGACUCUGAGUGGUCUGCAGCCACUGUCUAAUCUGUUGUAUCAUCUCGGUAGUUUGCAGAACUACCUCUGUUCGACCCAUCACUCUGUGUCCAACCUCGACCCAGCAGACUGGGGUCCUACACUUCCGCCCAUAUAACAGCUCGAAAGGCGGGGCGCCAAUACUGGAAUGAUAGUUGUUGUUGUAGACGAACUCUACAAGCGGUAGGUGGGAAUCCCAACUCCCACCGAAAUCAAUGACGCACGCCCUCAACAUAUCAUCGAGGGUCUGUAAGGUCCGCUCACUCUGCCCAUCAGUCUGUGGAUGGAAUGUUGUACUAAAAUCCAACCUCGUACCUAGUUCCUCGUGGAACUUCUGCCAAAAACGGGAAGUAAAUCGGACAUCCCGGUCUGAAACUAUGGAAACGGGAACCCCAUGGCGAGAGGCAAUCUCGCGGACGUACAGGUCGGCCAACUUCUCCACCGACGAACUCUCCCGUAUAGCUAGGAAAUGAGCACUCUUGGUCAAUCGAUCCAUGAUGACCCAUAUAGCUGUUGGAUUAGUGUCUAAGUCCAUAACUAUUUUGGUAUGUACUUGACUCGAUGGUGCAUGGUCCUUUUGGGUUGCCUCACCAAAGCAACUUGAUAGGAUGAAUUAUGGAGAGAAUGGAUUAAUUAUGAUUUAUUAAUAUAUUAUGAGAAUAAUAUAUUAAAAGAGAAAUCAUAGUGUUUAAUUAAUAUUAGUGAAGAAUUAAUUGAUAAUUAAUUUUGUAGCUAAAAGAGAUUAAUUAAAAUUAAGGGACUGGAACUGUAAUUAUAAGAUAAUUGCAAUUGGGCUAUGGAUAACUUAAUAAUAUAUAAGUUGGACGAAUUCUAUGGGGAAGCCCAUUAGAAAUCGUCCAAGGGAUAUACUAAAGGAAUCCAUGGGCUGCUUAGGGCUUAAGCAGUCAGAUUAGGGUUUCCUAGUUGAAAACCCUAAUAGCCUACAUGUAUAUAUAGUACCCUUAAGCCCCAAAAACGUGGCUAUGAGUUACUCUAGGGUUUUUGGACGAUUUGGGAAGCCUCCCCUCUUCUUAUUCUUCAUCCUCUUGCUCUUGGUUUUUGUAAGCCAUUAGAGGAGUGAAACUUGUGACUCUAAGCUUUCUAAAGUCAUUACAAGGAGGAUUUGAGAUUGUUAUUGCUACAUAACAAUCAAGGUAAGAUCUAAAAACCCUUUCACAUGUUAAUAUGAUUAAUUGUAUGCUAGAACUAGGGUUUAAAGUCUUGGAUGAAUUGCAUGUACAAUAGAGAAACCUAGAUCCAAGCAUUAGGGUUUGCAUGAGCACAUAGGAUGUUCUUAUGGCCAAAACCCAUCAGUGGUAUAAGAGCCUUGAUUCAUUUCUAUUGUAUUGAUGACUAGUAUAUUCAUUCUUGUUGCAAAAUCGAUUUUUUGGCCCCGUGAUUGGUGAACUCGGCGAGUUCCAAUGUGGACUCGGCGAGUUCGAGCGUCAGUUAGGCGGAUUUUCAGGAUUUUAUCUAUUUUGACUUAGGAUAAUUGCCAUAAUUGUUUAAAAUUAAUAAAAUUCGAAUUUUAUUGAUUCCUUAUGAUUAUCUUUGUCAAAAUAAAAGAUUUUGGUCAUCUAAUUAGAUAAUUGUUACCUUAUUUGAUAAAUGUUAAAUUAUUUGAAUUAUUUGAUCAUUAUCUUGCAAGAAUUUGAACUAGAUCUAAUUAGAUAACCACCAAUUAAUUGUUAAUUGCCUUAUUUGAAUUAUGUGAUCUAGAAUAUUCUUAAUAAAGUUUGGAAAAGUUUCAAAAUAAUCUCUUUAGGUUUUAUAGUUUAAAUUUGAACAUAAAAGUUUUGUUUUUGAAAUUUAAAUAAGUUAAACCCUAAUGUUUUGAAAUGUUUCAAAACUUGCCCUCAAGUUUUGGAAUUUAAAAGUUGAUUAAAAGUUUAAUUUAGAAAUGUUAAAUUCUAAAACCCUAGUAUUGUUUUGAAAAGUUCAAAUCACACCCUUAUGGUUUUAUUAAUUAAUUAAAGUGUAUAAUUAAAAGAGAUUUAAUAAAUCCAUAAAGUUUUGGUUUACAAUUUAAUUAAAUUAAAAGUAUAAUUAUUAAAUUUGACCACCUAGUAUUUUAAAAGUGUAAAAUAUACCCUAUACUAUAUAUAACAUUAAAAGUCUAAUAUUAUAUAUAUGUAUGACUAAAAGUCAGUCUUACCGUUAGUAGGCCUCAUUCACGAAGCUGGUCUAUAAGGGGUGUUUAAGGAAAUUGCCUAUAAAAUGGCGAUUGAAUGGGUAUCCACUCUUACCCACCGCACUCUUGACUAGUGGAGGGUCGUUAGCCGAACGGGUAGGAUAGGACGAAACCUUCCAUUAUAAGUAUAAUGAAGUAUAAAAGUAACUAAAUGUUUUCAUAAAAUUCCCAAUCUUAGUUACUUAGGCAAAAGUGAAUUGAUGCAAUUCCAUGAAAUUACACUUUGUGCCCUUGCGAAGACGUUAGUGGAGCGUGUGUGGUUUACCGGCACACUAAAUGGUUCUAAGCAAAGGUAGCAAAGGGUGACUCAAUGUUUGUCAUAGUUCGGUGGAGCGUGUGUGGUUUACCGGCACAUCGAAUAGGUGACUGUAACAUGUGAGGGCACCAUGUAAGUUUGCAUGGUUAUUCACACCCGCUUUGUGAUCCUCGGCAUCCCAGUCACAAACUAGAGGGGCAUAUCGAGAUUUAAACAUGCCAUUGAAAUGUUCAAUGAAUCUCAAAGGAUCUAGGAGUUUUCAUAGAUUUAAAACUUAAAUUUCUUUUUCGUUUUUCAUGGUGGAAAUUAGUGAAUCGUCAUUCACUUACCUUCAAAUGUUCUGCAAUUUGGGUUACGGCAUCCCUCUCCCGAGUUGUAGAAUAUUGUGUUGGGUCCUAGCCUUAGUAUCUCAUUUGGGUGAUUUACUAAGGACUCAAUCAAUCAACUAACUUGAAUUCGUUUUCUCCCGUUUUGUAGAUGUCAAAGUUCGACAACUAUGGUCUUCCCAAAUCCCGUGGAACAAGCAUUCCACAUGAAGAUGAUAUUCCACGAUUCGAUCGAGGAACAAGAAAUCAUGCUUCACUUCCUCCACCUCCUCCAAUUAUUCUCCCUAACCCACAAGUUCAAAGGCUUGAAAAGUUCAAGAUCACUCAAGCCCUUUUGGCAAGUAAACAUAAAGAAGGAAAGUCGGUGUGUGCACACGUCCUAGGGAUGAAGUCACACAUUGAUAGGUUAAGAAUGUUGGGAUCCGUUGUCUGUGAGGAAAUGGCUGUUGAUUGGGUUCUUCAGUCACUUCCUAACUCAUAUAGUGAGUUCGUAAGAGAGUACUAUAUGAUGAACUGCGACGUGACCCUUAUAGAUCUCACCUAUAUGCUUAUUGCUGCUGAAUCAGCAAUGGUUUGGCGCAAUAGAAAAGCAAAGUUGAUUGGUGAAUCUGCCUUCAAGACCUCUAUGGAUAUAGACAAUGGCAACGAAAGACAUGCUAUGAUCGAAAAGUUUGAUCAUAAGAGAAAGGCAAUGUCUGAAGUAGUUCCAUGUCAUGUUCCAAAAGAGUCAAUUUGCUUUUAUUGCCAAGAGAAAGGGCAUUGGAGACGAAGCUGCCCCAUUUACCUAAGAGAUCUAAGAGAUGGGAGAGUCGAAACGUAUGGCUCUAAUAUAGGUAAAAUCCAUUAACUAACUCUUUUAAGCUUCUAUUCUAGAUUCUUAAUACAUAAUGUGAUAAGAUUACAAUUGAUGUUUUGUAGGAUCGAAGAAAAGAAAGGAAGCUUAAGGGAAGAAGUGAGCAGAAUCUAACCGUGAAGGAAUGGAUUUCGAUCGCAUUACUUGAAGAUUAGAUUCUUGAGCUACUACUUAGAGUUAGAAUUAGAUUGCUAAGAAAGAUGUAUUAGCAUAGUUUUUCAAUGAAUUGCAUUGUAAGGACAAAUUUUUCCGCAAUAAAAUAAAUUUUGAUUUUAAAUUUUAUUUAUUUAUCCUUACAAUGGCGUGUAUGAAAAAUUGAUGUUAAAAUGUUUCUAUUAUUAGCAAUAAUGGAUUUGGUUCUUAUUAUGUUAUUUAUGGAAAGUCGAGAAUUUACCAAAUAGGGAGAGUUUCUCAUCGCCCAAGUUUCAAUUGGACAGAAACUUGGAAUCAUGCAACUUGGUUGCACGAUGAAUGAGAAAUUUCAUAUUUGGAAAUUAGACUAAUUCAUUGACAAAGUGUCAAGUGAAGGACUAGGAGAUCGAGUACACAAAGUUGCGUGUUGAUCAAGUCCACCAUAAGAGUAACAAAGAUAUUCGUCAUGAUUUACUAAAGGUUUAGUAAAUAUGAUUAUACUUAUAAGAUUAAGUGUAAUUCUGAAUUGAUUGAAAAAGUUUAAAUCAAUAGCAGAACGAAUAAGAAGAAUCAAGUAGGCAGAAAGAUAAAAGUUUCUCCAUUCUAAGAAGAAGGGAGAGUACCUUUUAUGCUUUAUGAUAGGUCUUAAUGAUUAAGAACCAUAUCUCAAUUGAUCCUCUAAGUGAGUCUUAGUACAAUUGUAUGUCUAAGAAGAGGAAUCAAGAAUUGAAGAAAUGGUUAAAUCAAGAAGUCAAUCAUACUUCGUUCCAAAACAAGUCUUAGAGUUAAGAUUGUGACAUUGAGUGACAAGUCUUAAGAAGGUUUAUAACAUUCAUUAAAUGUGGAAAGUUGUGAUGUCUUGGAUAAGACAAAGACCAACUAGGACCAAUUUAUGAAGUGUUUUGAUAAAAGCUACACUAACUCUUGAAUAUUUGUUUGUCAAGAAAUGUUUAUUGACAAGAGAAUCUUAUAUGUCAAGGAGUCAGUGGGAGUCUUAAUGGUCUUGAAAGGUUUCAAGAACAAAUCAAGAAUAAACCUUAUCAAUCAUCACUAGCACACGACUUGAGGUUUACAACCUAUCGUGUUGACAUUAUUUUGUUUCUGUGCCAUUCCAAUUGAGUUAAUUAUGCAUGUGAGUUCUAUGAGUUCUCAUUUGAACGCAUAAAAGGCAAGCACCUUGAUCAAUGAAAAGUACAUUGAUAGGAAAGGGUGAGCUGCUUAACUACUUGGAAGACAUGGUGGGCACUCGUGUUACCAUAAGGCAAGAAAUCAAGAUUGAGAAAGUUCAGUCCAUAUGAGUUUGGAUUUGUCGCAAACUUUGGUUUUGACAAAUUCGCAUGGAUAGGAACACAUACACCAUUAAAAUCUAAGUGUCAUAAGAUUCCCUCCUUCAUGAAAAUGACUGUGAGGAAAUGCUUUCACUAAUAGAGAUUUUAAGAAGAUAGUGAUUGUGAAAUUGUAUUCUCGAAUUCGAUUAUGGUUACGGUAUCCCUUUCCAUGAUUCGAAUUGUGAGAUUUGGCAAUUAGUCUGAAUUGUUUAGACACACAUAUGAGCUAUCUAAGGCAAAGGUGUAUAAGUUUGAGAAGCUUAGAUAAAGGAUUAUCAAAGCAUUAGGUAUUAGAAAUAUGAACUUAAGAAAUUCAAUAGGUAUUGUUUUCUGGAAGUUAAGCUGUUUUCUGAAUACAUGUCAAAGCUAGUGGGAGCAUAAGUGUUAUGCUUAUAUGAUAAUAAUCAUCAUGAUAGUGGGAGCAUAAAAGUUGUGAUUGUAUGAUUAUUAUGGCAAGUAUUGCAAGUUAACAAUAUUAAUUAUAGAAAACAAGAGUUAUACUUUGCAAAGUCGCAAGGGUUGAAAAGUUGUUUUGCUAUAUAGUUAAGGGAGAGAAUAUUAUGCUUCAUUUCAAAUCUAAAGGCUUAGGUUGUGGAAUGUUAAUAAAUUUAGUCAAGGAUACCUAGUGCGUUCUCAAAAUUUCGAUUAUGAUUAUGGCAUCCCUCUUCAUAGUUCGAAUUUUGAGAACGUGACACAUAAAAUAUUAUGGCAAAAGAUUGAUAAAGUAUCGUAUCUUUAUGUAAGACAUUAUGCAUCGUGUCCCAUACGCUUCGGGUAUAGGAUCGAUUGCAAAUGCUAUAAUAUUUGACCAUUCUAAAAUUUUCCAAAUGUCUAGCGCAUUUAGAGGGAAAAAGGACAAGAAUCGGUUUUGACUAAGAUAAUUAAACAACUAUCAAAGGACGAUCCAAAGUUCGCUGAGAAUUGGUCGCUUGUGAGUAGUUGGAAAUAUGAUAUUGGAUGGACCAUAUCGACAUUAUUAUGAAUAGAUAAGAUUCUAUUAAGAAUGAGUUGUCAUAAGGAAAAUAUGGAAAUGUUUCCAUAUUAGGAGUUGGAAAUUGAGAGUCUAUGGCAAGAUUAGAAAAUUUUAUGCAUAAGGAUGUUCAAGGAAUGUACUUUGAAUGAGAGACACCACGUCUAUGGAAUUGUCUUGUAACAAUCUCCAAUAAAGAAUUUUGUAAUUUCAUUGGCAAUAGUCAUUGUGACUUUUGCGCUAUGACUUUACAAAAGGAUCAUUGCAUAAAAUGUUAGAAUCUAGCAUAUUCUAUGAGUGGCAAGAAUUUGAUAUUCUUAUACUUGUGAUAAGGAUUGGGAGUUGUGAAAUGAGUAUGAUUGGAAAUGUGUUCAUUUGAUCUAUUUCACAAAGUAAGGACCGUAGGUAAACAUUGUGUGCAUGCUAAGAGCAUGGGACAAGUGUAGUAAUAAUUCAAGUAAGAAGUUGAUUACCCGAAACAACAAAUAAUGAGUAAUCGAUAUGGUGAUAAAUAAAAGGUGUUUUAUUUAUGCUCAAAGGUUUGAGGCCAUAUGGGAUUAGUAUUAUUCUUGUGUUUCACUUUGCAUGUUUUGACUUUCUGAAUAAUUAAUUAUUUUAGAAUAAUCAAAUUAUUCAAACGGACCACAGUCGUUCAUAUGUAGGUAUGAAUGAAGACUGUCGUGAAUUGGUGUGUGGAUUGUCUAAAGUGUAUUAGACAUAAGCAAAUGUUUGUUGCAACGUUCCUGAGUGCUUAUGAAUAUGAUUUAAUCAUUGGAUUAAACCCAUGCGCACUUGGAUCACUUCAUGGAUUUUAUCGCGAGUGAUUGGUGAGACGAUAACAUCUUAUAUUCUUGAAACCAAGAUGUGUGAGUUGUAUCUUACGAGUCGGUUGCACAUUGAUAAUAUGUAAACGCACCAGUAGCUUGGUGUUAUAAAACGUAUCGUUGUGUGUAAUUCGGUAAGUGGGUGCAAGCGAGCAUUGAGUCAAAGUUUAUCCGUUCCUUUUAUCCAAAGUAGGAUGAAAGCAAUAUUUGUGGGCCCCUCGAUGAUUUAGUGAUGACACCUAAGCGCUUGGCCAAGCGGGGACUAAUUUGAUGUGUUCAAUUGUAGUCUGUUGUCAGUCGUCAUAAAUCGGAAGUCGGGAAACAGUAUAGAGAGAAUUAUUUAAAUCCAUGUCUCAGUCUAUACGAUAUCUAGAAUGGAGGAAUAUAUGAUCCCUUAUCUAAAGGACACGCUUCUGAUAAGAUCAGAGUUGACAGUGGCUUUUGAAAGCUACGAUUGUAGAUCAAGAUCUGAAGUCAUACACAGAAUAGCUAUUAGACUUAUCCAAGUGGGAGACUGUUGGAUUAGUGUCUAAGUCCAUAACUAUUUUGGUACGUACUUGACCCGAUGGUGCAUGGUCAUUUUGGGUUGCCUUCACCAAAGCAACUUGAUAGGAUGAAUUAUGGAGAGAAAGGAUUAAUUAUCAUUUAUUAAUAUAGUAUGAGAAUAAUAUAUUAAAGGAGAAAUCAUAUUGUUUAAUUAAUAUUAGUCAAGAAUUAAUUGAUAAUUAAUUUUGUGGCUAAAAGAGAUUAAUUAAACUUAAGGGACUGGAACUGUAAUUAUAAGAUAAUUGCAAUUGGGCUAUGGAUAACUUAAUAAUAUAUAAGUUGGACGAAUUCUAUGGGGAAGCCCAUUAGAAAUCGUCCAAGGGAUAUACCAAAGGAAUCCAUGGGCUACUUAGGGCUUAAGCAGUCAGAUUAGGGUUUCCUAGUUGAAAACCCUAAUAGCCUACAUGUAUAUAUAGUACUCUUAAGCCCCAAAAACGUGGCUAUGAGUUACUCUAGGGUUUUUGGAGGAUUUGGGAAGCCUCCCCUCAUCUUGUUCUUCAUCCUCUUGCUCUUGGUGUUUAUAAGCCAUUAGAGGAGUGACACUUGUGACUCUAAGCUUUCUAAAGUCAUUACAAGGAGGAUUUGAGAUUGUUAUUGCUACAUAACAAUCAAGGUAAGAUCUAAACCCCAUUCAUAAGUUAAUAUGAUUAAUUUUAUGCUAGAUCUAGAGUUUAAUGUCUUGGAUGAAUUGCAUGUACAAUAGAGAAACCUAGAUCCAAGCAUUAGGGUUUGCAUGAGCACAUAGGAUGUUCUUAUGGCCAAAACCCAUCAAUAGCAUCGAAACCCUUUGCCGUCUUUGGCAACUUCGUGAUGAAAUCCAUCGUGAUCCAUUCCCAUUUCCACAUGGGGAUCUCCAGGGGCUGCAGCUUACCAUGCAGCCUCUGGUGCUCAGCCUUGACCAUCCUACAGGUCAAGCACCUCUCAACAAACCAAGCGAUAUCUCACUUCAUGCCCGGCCACCAAUAACUCGAAAUCAGAUCAUGGUACAUCUUGGUGGCUCCCGGAUGAAUAGAGAACCGAGACUUAUGAUCCUCCUCCAUCACUGUCUUCCGGACCCCUCCGGUCAUCGGAACCCAAAUCCGACCGUAACGGGUCAACAAUCCGCGGCUAUCCUGAACAAACCGGGCGCUUUCGCCCUAAAUCUUCUCCAACUUCCAGUUCUCUGGUCUCAUACCCUCAAUAUGAGAAUCCCUUGUAACAUCCGGAUUCCCAGGUAUAAUAUUUAUUCAUUUAUUUUGGAGUUUGUGGAGGAACUCGGCGAGUUGGUGCUUACACUCGCCGUGUAGGGUCGUGGAUUUUCAUCCGGGUUCACGACUGGACUCGGCGAGUCCAUGAGUGGACUGGACGAGUCUACGCUGUUUAAUAAAACCCUAAUUUCCCGGGUUUGGGACCUAUUUAAAGGCCCUUAGGGCCGUCAUUUGCUGCCACCAAACCCCAGAGAGAAACACUAAGAGAUCUAGAGCGUUUGUGAGGAAGCAGAGGCCAUUUUUGAUCAUUUUGUUGGUGUGAUUUCAAGAAGGAGAUGACCAAGGCAAGAGGAGGCUGAAGGAGGUGCGAUUCUAGUGAUUUCAGAGUUCAGAGACUUCAUCUUGAGGUACUUAUUCGGACCUUCUUCAGUUUUGGUGUUGAUUCAUAGAGUUAGAGUUUUCUAACCCCCUUUAGAUGAUGGUUAUGUGGAGCAAUUGGUCCCUUCUCGAGUUUAUGCUUUGGAUCUAGACUCAAAGAGGUCCAGAGACCUUAACCCUUGGAGCUUUAUGAGUUAUUUUGGGGGCUAUGAACUUAGGAUGUCAUUUUUGGGGCUAAAUCACCAAGUGAUACCAUCUAGAUGAUAUAUGAGUGUCAAGGUCUGAACUUUACGUGAUUAUCAUGCUUGGGAAGGCCAGAUCUAUGGAUUAAAGGAACAGAUCUAACCUCAGGAGGUCAAUGGAGUUUGUGCAUGGCAUGAACUCGCCGAGUCCAAAGAUCAGACUCGGCGAGUAGGGUUAGGGUUAGGGUUUCACGUAAAUCACUCAGUGAGUAGACUUGUCGAGUUGGGGGAAUAACUCAGUGAGUCAGAGGGGGAUUAGAGGAUUGGAGUUCAAGGCGGAACUCGCCGAGUUGUUCUUGAGACUCGGCGAGUUGAGUUGGGGUGGCCCUACGAUUCAUUCCAGGUGUGACUCGUCGAGCCAGGGGAGGGACUCGACGUGCCAAGCGGGAAUAAAGAGUUAGUGGACACGUGUAUACUCGUCGAGUCGCCAAAGUGCACUCGACGAGUCGGGUCAAAGUUUGACCGUUGAAUUUUGUUGACUUUUAGGGUUCGGUCAGCGAUGUGGCCUUUGGGCUAAGAGAGGGGUAAAAUGGUCUUUUACCCUUAAGAGGGUGCCAAGAGAGGGUUGAUUCUAGUCUCGAGAGUUAUAUUUAUGAGAGUAUUUGCCUUAUGUGUUAGGCGGUGGCGAGUUCGAGAUUCAAGUGUGAGGAUAUCUACUUUCUGCUUGCCAGGUGAGUCUUCUCACUAUACUUUACCUAGAGUGGUAACAGAGUUAUGUGACAGAGUUAUUGUAUGUUAUCUAUGUGAUGUGUGGCACCGCAUUAUUUCUAUGUGAUUUAUGUUGUAUGUAUAUCAGAGAUAGGACUAGAAGGUCCACAGAGCUAGGACCAGAGGGUCCGCAGAGUUAGGGGCCAAGGGCCCACAGAGUUAUAGCCUCGAGUGGAUAAUAUGUGCUAUAUGUGGUGUUUUUAAUAUUAUGUGCCAGUGUAUUUGUAUGUUAUUUAUGUAUUGAGAUUUAUUGUGAUAUGUGAUAUGCAUGAUUCAGAGUUAGGACCCUUGGGUCCAUAGGCCAGAGGGCNGGCCCACAGAGAGUUGGGACUGGAGGGUCCCACUGAGACACACUGACCGGAGGGUCAACAGAGAUUAUAGCCUCAAGUGGCUAAUAUGUGUUAGAGUGGUAUUUUGGGGAACUCACUAAGCUUCGUGCUUACAUUGUUUUGUGUUAUGUGUUUCAGGUUAUCACAGGAUCACGGGACGCCACCGGCUCGAUUGUACACACCAAAGGAAGCGUUUGCUUUGAGGAUCCUGGUGUAUUAAUUGAUUGAAGAAAAGAUUCAUGUAUUUCAAUUUAAAAAAAAGGAGAUUUUUGUGAAAAGUGUUACAAGUUGGUAUCGGAGCCUUGGUUUGAGGGAUUCGGAUGCACCUUCGGGUAAAUCUGGACUCAAACUGAGGAAGUAAGAAAAGUUUUCAAAGAAAUGAUUUUCUAAAGUGAAUAAGAGUUCAAAGAAAAAGCGAGAAAGAGCAGUGUGUACAAUCACCCAGAGGCCGUACGGUGAUUUCCCAAAAUACCCUUACUUUUGUGUUAUGAGAUAUUUAUGAUGCACUUUAUGAGAUAUUAUGCAUGCUAGAGACAGGCUAGGUACUUCAUAUCUUAGGACUAGAGUGAUCUGAUUUGUGAUGCCUUAGCCUAGGAGUUGUUGUUAUAUGUGAUGUGCUUUUGAGUAUGUGAUGAGUGAGAAUAUUCAGUUGGAAUCCUUUUAGGGGAUUUGAGUAGAGGAGUAAUCUAGGGGAGAUGCCUAGAUGAGUACCGUGGUGCUUAUCGAAAGAAUAGUUAGAACCCGCAAGGGGUAGAGUUGCGGAGUUCGGUGGUACUUUCGAGGAUGAGCAGAGCAAGCAGAGUUAUCACCCAGAGUGAGUCCUAUGUAUUCUUCGAUGCCCGAAUGUUGCUUGCUUCGUGCUUUGUGGAACUCUCGAUGAUGGGAGCCAGCUACCAAGUGAAUAUGACGAUAUUCAGGAGGUAGAUGGUUGGCAUCAUUAAGAGCUCUUCAGCAGCUGAUGGCAGAGAAGUGAGAGGACCAAGGAAGAGCCUAGGGAGUAACCUUAGUCAGAUGAGUAUGCUGACGGAGUAGAGCAUUUCACUGAGGAGCGAGAAUGCGUGGUGGAAUUAGUGAACGAGAAGGUUGAGCAGCUACUUAGGAGCUCUGGAAUGGUCCGUGUGGAAAGUAUGGGUAGAUGUGGCAGGUAGUAUGGGCCCGUACUACCGAAAGUAGAGGACCCAUACUCGAUACAAGGAGUAUUCUGAAGGUUCUAAGGAGUAGAUUGAGGAGUGAUGUUAUGGUUUGAGUACCAUACAUUGGAGCAGAUUGAGGAGUGAUGUUAUGGUUCGUGUACCAUGCAUCGGAGCAGAUUGAAGAGUGAUGUUAUGGUUCGUAUACCAUGCAUCGGAGCAGAUUGAGGAGUGAUGUUAUGGUUCGUGUACCAUACAUCGGAGCAGAUUGAGAAAUGAUGUUAUGGUUCGUGUACUAUGCAUCGGAGCAGAUUGAGGAGUGAUGUUAUGGUUCGAGUACCAUAUAUUGUAGCAGAUUAAGAAGAGAUGUCCUAGGUUGAGUACCAUGGUUCUUAGCAAAUGAUGCUUGUGAUUCUCCGGUUGUCCGGUCAGGAUUGAUUAUUGGAAUUCGGACGCGAUGGGGUUUUAGGCCUGGGGGCCAUGAUUAAGUCCGAAGAGGCAUCCCUAAGAGGGAGGUCGAGAUCACUUCAGAGUAUUUUGGUAAGAUGCCAAAUGUAGUCGCAAGACUCAGGGAUUAGUGGAAAAGGCAUUUAUGGGGGAUUGUGGUUUGAGUGAGCAAUCAACCGAUGGAGGAGAUGUCACCUUCUGUGACCUGAGGGGUGCUAUUUAUGUUUCCUAUGGGAAACAGGAGAGGCGUGAGAUUUCAGUUUUGGGUUUAGGAGUAAACCCUACGGGUUGACAUUGAUGGCGAUUUUUCCACCAGAGUAUCAGGCAGCAUGUCUGCCGCGAGGAAAUGAUCUACCAUGAGCAGGUAGUCAGUGGGGACUGAGAUGGUCAAGGACCACAUUACACCCUAAUUGAGUAUAGUAGGGCGUGCGGCAGCGGUAUCAGCGAGUAAUCCAGUCGAGUGUAUCAGAGCGGUGGCUCUUCUGUCUAUGAUGAGUAUUGAGUAUGGUAGUGGAGUCCCUAUUCUUGUGAUAAUUCAUGUGUUGGAAUGGGGGUUGAAAAGUCGAGGAUGGGGAGUAUAAUGAUUUAUUGUUUCAGUCUAAGAGUCAGUGAUAGUAUUGGACAGUUGAGAUGUUUGGUAUUGGGAUGGUAUGUGACUUCGAAUGGCUAGAGGCAGUCGUAAUGAGAAGUUCCUGAGGAUUUCAUCAGAGAUUUAGGGUAAUUGAGGUAUCUUGAUCUCUACAUGGGGAAAUCAUUGGGCGUUGUGUGGCACCUUCCAAGCGUAGUUGCGAUGUUUCUGGUGUAAACCGUCUGUGGGGUAGAUUGUUGAUGCGUCAAUUGGUGAUGGUUUGAACCCUAAGUGGGGGAGAACCGGGUAUUUUACUGAGGGAACCAGAGAUUUGUGCAAGAGCGGUUAGGGAUUAGAUACAGAAAACCUGUAACUCGAAUUCAUAAGACCAGGGUCAUUGGUGAUCAAGGAAAGGUGCAUAGUGAGAUAAUGCAUGAGACCUUAACCCUUGGAGCUUUAUGAGUUAUUUUGGGGACCAUGAACUUAGGAUGUCAUUUUUGGGGCUAAAUCACCAAGUGAUACCAUCUAGAUGAUAUAUGAGUGUCAAGGUCUGAACUUUACGUGAUUAUCAUGCUUGGGAAGGCCAGAUCUAUGGAUUAAAGGAACAGAUCUGACCUCAGGAGGUCAAUGGAGUUUGUGCAUGGCAUGAACUCGCUGAGUCCAAAGAUCAGACUCGGCGAGUAGGGUUAGGGUUGUUGGAUUAGUGUCUAAGUCCAUAACUAUUUUGGUAUGUACUUGACCCGAUUAUGAGCAUGGUCCUUUUGGGUUGCCUUCACCAUAGCAAUAUGUAGGAUGAAUUAAGGAGAGAGAGGUUUAAAUAUGAUUUAUUAAUAUAUUAUGAGAAUAAUAUAUUAAAGGGGAAAUUAUAUUGUUUAAUUAAUAUUAGUCAAGAAUUAAUUAAGAAUUAAUUUUGUGGCUAAAAGAGAUUAAUUAAAUUUAGGGGACUGGACUGCAAUUAUUGGAUAAUUGAGUUAUUAGGCUAAGUAAUGCUAAAGGAGUAAGGGGUGAACGAAAUAAUGAUGGAAGCCCAUCAUAUUUUCGUCCAUGGCCUUAUCCAGAAGGUUCCAUGGGCAGCUUAGAGUUUAAGUUGUCCAUUAGGGUUUUAACUGAAACCCUAGCAGCCCACACAAGUAUAUAAAGGACCCCUUAGGCUCCAAAAACGUGUGGAACUGAUUAUCUAGGGUUUCUAGCCGUUUUUGGGCAGCCUCCUUUCUUCUCUUCUUCAUCCAAGUUGUAUAUGGUGUUUGUGACUCCAUUAGAGGUGCAGCACUUGAGGCACUAAGCUUUUGAAGCCAACCCAAGCAAGGAAUUGAUUGUUAUUGCAAUAUAACAAUCAAAGGUAUUUCUAUAAACCCUAAUUCAGUUUAUAAUAUGUUAGAUAUAAGUUUAUUAGUCUUGGAUUCAAAGCAUGUACAAUAGAGAAACCUAGACCCAAGCAUUAGGAUUUGUAUGAGCACAUAGGAUUGUUCUGAUGCAUAAAACCCAUCAAGGGUUUCACGUAUAUCACUCAGUGAGUACACAUGCCGAGUUGGGGGAAUAACUCAGUGAUUCAGAGGGGGAUUAGAGGACUGGAGUUCAAGGCGGAACUCGCCGAGUUGUUCUUGAGACUCGGCGAGUUGAGUCAGGGUGGCCCCGCGAUUCAUGCUAGGUGUGACUCGUCGAGCCAGGGGAGGGACUCAACAUGCCAAGCGGGAAUAAAGAGUUAGUGGACACGUGUAUACUCGCCGAGUCGCUAAAGUGCACUCGACGAGUCGGGUCAAAGUUUGACCGUUGACUUUUGUUGACUUUUAGGGUUCGGUCAGCGAUGUGGCCUUUGGGCCAAGAGAGGGGUAAAAUGGUCUUUUACCCUUAAGAGGGUGCCAAGAGAGGGUUGAUUCUAGUCUCGAGAGUUAUAUUCAUGAGAGUAUUUGCCUUAUGUGUUAGGCGGUGGCGAGUUCGAGAUUCAAGUGUGAGGAUAUCUGCUUUCUGCUUGCUAGGUGAGUCUUCUCACUAUACUUUACCUAGAGUGGUAACAGAGUUAUUGUAUGUUAUCUAUGUGAUGUGUGGCACCGCAUUAUUUCUAUGUGAUUUAUGUUGUAUGUAUAUCAGAGAUAGGACUAGAAGGUCCACAGAGCUAGGACCAGAGGGUCCGCAGAGUUAGGGCCCAAGGGCCCACAGAGUUAUAGCCUCAAGUGGAUAAUAUGUGCUAUAUGUGGUGUUUUUAAUAUUAUGUGCCAGUGUAUUUGUAUGCUAUUUAUGUAUUGAGAUUUAUUGUGAUAUGUGAUAUGCAUGAUUCAGAGUUAGGACCCUUGGGUCCAUAGAGUUAGGGCCAGAGGGCCCACAGAGAGCUGGGACUGGAGGGUCCCACUAAGACACACUGACCGGAGGGUCAACAGAGAUUAUAGCCUCGAGUGGCUAAUAUGUGUUAGAGGGGUAUUUUGGGGAACUCACUAAGCUUCGUGCUUACAUUGUUUUGUGUUAUGUGUUUCAGGUUAUCACGGGAUCACGGGACGGCACCGGCUCAAUUGUACACACCAGAGGAAGCGUUUGCAAGGCGACACAGCCAUAAAACUUAUCCCACGACUCUUACCCUGCUUAUACUAGGUUUUAAACACUCUAUUUGACUCCAAACAGUGCUAGAAAAUAGUAAAACGAGCUAAACUUUGAUAAGAAAUGAAGAGUGUAAGCUAGAAAUUUUCGGGUUGUCACAUCACCACAACUCCCUAAUACUAUACUCAACAUAAUGUGCGCUCAACCGUCACUACUAGGGGACAUCGCCUAUCUCACUACUGAUCCCACAACUUUGCACAACUCACACCUCCAUGGAACUUCCAUCAGCCCCUGCAACGCUAGUGUAUGCUAGCCGCACAUAACGCUGGACCCGAUAGACUUUCGAAUAUCCAACCCUACCCUAAGGUCGAGUCAAACAUUCUCAGGCCUUAAGAUCUUAACUAUACACUGUAGUGAUGCAUACAAUAAACAUCUACAAUUAUGAUGUCAAUCCCAUAUACAAGAAACCCUAGGCUAAUAGGUAUCAUAUAAUCAGGCAAAUCCAUCAUGCGAUUCCUGAAGAUCCCUAGCCUAGCACUAGCAUGUUGUUCUAACAUAUCAGAAUAUCAAAUAACUGUAUGGUAUUUUGGGGUUUACUUACAGGCUCCGGUUGAUCGUACCCUCUGCAUCCGCCAUCCUUUCUUUUGAAAACCAUUUUUGAAAACUUACUUCCCAAAAAUCUCCUUGGUUUGAGAAUGGAUUCACACGAGUGUUCCUCCAAUUCACUCAAACCAAGGCUCUGAUACCAACUUGUAACGUCCAAAAAUUUCACGCCAAAUUCAAACUUUUUCAACCAUAAAUAAAAGACAAAUAGUAUUGUUUACAAAAUGUUUUAAAAUCAAUAUCCAACAGAGUUUCCCAAAAUCAUAACAUAAGGAUGAGGAGCGGUACGGUCACGCCUUCGCCUUGCCACGAUCUCUUGAAGUACCUGAAACAAUAAACUGAAAAGUGUAAGCCCGAGGGCUUAGUGAGGUACCCCCAAAAUACCAAUACCACACUGACAAUACCAUAUCAGUAACAAUCAAUCAAUCAAUCAUGCAUACUGGGCCAUCGACCUAACUGGACCGCCCUACUGGGCCUACAGUUUAUCUGAACCUAUUCAUGUAUACUUGGCCAUCGGCCUGACUGGACCGCCCUACUGGGCCUACAGUCUAUCAGAAUCUAUCCUGAGCCUUCGGAAUGACUGGUCCGCCUUGUGGGCCUGCAGUCUCCCCGGACCGCUCAUAGGGUAUGUUGUCCUUCAGCACAAAGCAGGACCGCCCCAACCCAACCAAUAAGCAAAUAACCAAGUUCGCAUAACUAUCACAUACUGGCAUAUACAAACAUCAAACAUAUCUGUCAUACUGAUCAUUAACCAUAGAAUCCUCUCGUAACGAGAGUACCGACCUAGCAGGUCACUAGCAUACCAAUCCAUACGGAUCAUAAAGCAUACAUAUUGUCUACCCUGAUUCCGAUCUAGCAGACCAAAUCAUAUAUAGCAUACCAUAACAAUAACAACUAAAGGGUCGGCCUUGGUGCCAUAGACCCUAUCGAUAUAGUGACGAUAACUCACCUCGCAGAUGUCGACUCGGAAGAUAAACUCCAACUCUCGAAUCACUUGACACAGUCUCCACCAUCUAUGACCAUAAUACAAUAUACUCAUAAGUCCUUAACCUUAUAAGGUACUCCAUAACCCACCAGUCAACCCCUGGUCAAAGUCAAAGUCCUUAGUAAAGGUCAACAGUCCAUGUUGACCCCAACUCGCCGAGUACCCUCGGCUACUCGCCGAGUGCCUUGAUGCACAUCCCACUCGCUAAGUCAUCGGGGUGACUCGUCGAGUUCCAUCGAUUUUCGUUCAAACUUUCAGGCCAUUUGUUGAGUUCCCUCCUUGCAACUCGACAGAUACACAUGUAUACAUAUCCAAGGGAAAACUCAUCCGACUCGUUGAGUUGUUCUUCAACUCGUCGAGUCUUAUGGUGAUCUUCAUCGGACUCGCCGAGUGGUUCAUCCAACUCGUCGAGUUCAUGACCAUCUUCAUGUGACUCGCCGAGUCAACCUUGCGACUCGCCGAGUCCAUUCAGUCCUUUUUCCAUACAGACUUGCUUUGAGCAAUGCAACGGAGGUAAAUCAUAGAUCCAAGCUCCUAGGGCAUGCUUUUCAUGUAAAGUUGCAAACUUUACGUGCAUACAUAGCUACAAAGGUUCUAACUUCCAUUUCUAAGCUCUUAAUGGAACUUCAUGGUCAAGAGGGACCUCAAUCAUGACCAAUACAACAACUUUAUGAUUCUAGAAUCCAAGGAGGGUCCAGAUCUGAAGUUACAACUUCAGAUCUAGCCCAUAGCUCAUCUUAUAAACUUAACAUUCCAUAAAAGAACCCUAAAACUCAACCAAUAGAAGAGAUUUACAAGGAAAAAGGCGAUUUGGUUACCUCCAGAAGAUGAUAACUGAGAUAAGAGCUGAUUCCCACACUCCACUUGCUCCAAUCUCCUUCUCCUCCAAGCCUUCUUCCUCCAAAGAUUCUCUUUUCAAGCUUCAAUCACACAAUGGGCACACACACUCACGUAUUAGGGUUUUAAGAGCUCUUAAGGACUGCAAAGAGGCCAAAGGAGGCUGAGGCUCCUUUAAAUAGGGGUGCAAACCCUGGGAUUUAGGGUUUCAUCUGCCAGCUCCUACUCGUCGAGUCCCAAAGUGGACUCGUCGAGUAGGUCACUUAACACGCGAUCCCACCCUCGCUGCUACUCGACGAUUCGAUCGACCUACUCGUCGAGUAGAGCUUCAUCCAAAAAUUCUUAUUUAAAUAAUACCUAGGAAUCGGGGCGUUACACUUAAGUUUUCAAGAAAUGUUCGGAUUUACCCUUUAAUGACUUUUGGGUUCAUUAAAUCCGGAUAUUUUGUUUAAUUUUUUCACAUAUACCCUUUUAAGGGGUUUCAAGUCACCUCUAGUUACUAGUGGUGGUCUUGGUGAUUGUAACACCAUGAGGUUAAGAGGAUGUAUAAAUGUUUUUAUGUUAGCAUUGGAUUAUGUGGUAGCUAUGAUGGCCGUAAUAUCAUAGGUGUAAAUUGACAACUGUGGUAGCCUUAGUGGUCGUAAUCAAUGUUUUAAAAACCGGUUUGAACCGGCCGAUCGAACCGGUUGGACCGGGAACCGGGGGAAGAAGCGGUUCAGCUAUCACCGGUUUUACGUCGAUUUUUGAACCGGAUUGAACCGGCUGGUUUUUAGAAAAAAAACCCGGUUGAAUCGGUCAAAAUAAACCGGUUAAACCAAAUAAAAACACAUAGACAAUACUAUUUGCAUAAUAAACUUUGGUGAUUUUUUUUUUCAAAUCUAUUUAAUUUUCUCAAAAUAAAAACAUAUGGUAAAUAUUAUAAAUUUUUUUGAUGUGUUUGUAUUCAUCUAAAACUAUAUUUUGUUUCGAUAUUAAACUUUAUUUUCUAUUUGAUGUAUAUGAAUUGAUGUACGACACUAAAACUUAUUGUUAUGUGUUAUUUUAAUGUACUUGGAUUGAUCUAUAACUUAUUUUUUUGUAUAUUUUUAAUGUUUUAACUUGUAAACACAAAAAUCAUGAUAUAUAUAUAUAUAUAUAUAUANNNNNNNNNNNNNNNNNNNNNNNNNNNNNNNNNNNNNNNNNNNNNNNNNNNNNNNNNNNNNNNNNNNNNNNNNNNNNNNNNNNNNNNNNNNNNNNNNNNNNNNNNNNNNNNNNNNNNNNNNNNNNNNNNNNNGUGGUCGUAAUACCAUAGGUUGAAACCUUAUUGGUCAAUAGCAACUUUGGUGGCCGUAAUAUUAUAUUGUGUAUUGUUAUUGGAGAAUUGCAAGUUAAUAGUAGCUUUGGAAAUCAACAUACUAUAUUUGCGAAAGAAUAUAUUGUAGUGAAAAUUUGUAUGGUUGUAAUGUCAGUAAGAGUAAUGUUGAUUGAAUAAAUUGGUAGUUUGGAUAGUAUUGAUACUACUGAGAGGUUAUGUGGAAUUGAUAGUAGCUUGUGUGGUUGUAAGUCUAUUAAGGAUAGUUAAUGGUUUAAAAAGGAUAAUUAAUGGUUUAAAAAGCAGCUUAGAGAGAUGUAAAUCUGAUUAUUGGAGAAUUAUAUACUAACAUUUUAUUCGAGUGUACGUUGGUUGAUUGAAUAUCACUAAUGAUAUAUAUAUUUAGUUGUGUAACUAAUUUAUGUCUUGUUUAUAUGGUUACUCACUAAUCUAGUUGUACCUUACCAUUUUGUUAUGUCACNACUAUAUUGAUUUAUGGAUUUUUGAUAUAUAUAUAUAUAUAUAUAUAUAUAUAUAUAGUUGUGUAACUAAUUUAUAUCUUGUUUAUCUGGUUACUCACUAAUCUAGUUGUACCUUACCAUUUUGUUGUGUGUGUAUUUCAUGUUCAAAUAAACUUAGUAGCACCACAUGGAAUUGGUAGUGCACGACUUAGAUUCUUACACGAGAAUAUUCUAAGAUUGUCUUGAUAACUUCUUCUGUUGAUUUAUUAAUAUGAAUAUACACUAGAUUUGUUAUGAAUUGUAAAUUAAAAAUGAAAUUUUUGGAUGUACUUUGUAUUAAAAAUUCGGGUGUUACAUGAAUGCCAAAGAUACAAAUUAGAAAACGACCGACUCAAGCGAAAAGAAGACAAAUCAACACAAGAAUCCAAGAUCCAUAAGGAUGAAGGGAUAUCUAAAGUACCGGACAAAGAAAUACCUAUGAUAUGACAUCAAGAUUGGAAGCCAGGAACUGUAUGGACUACUCAAAAACUUGAGGAUCCAAAGCAAAUAGUAUGUAAUGAUAAUAUGAGGAUCAAUCUUUAUCAAAGGUGAAAUAAACUAUAAUGAAUGGGAUGUCCACACAGUAGGACUAAAAGAGUGGCUGAAAGGGUCCAAAUGGUAUGUUUUGCUACAGAGAACGUUGUUGCUAUUUUUCCUUAUUAACAGUGGCACUGAGAUUUCCAAUGGCUUUUUUGUUUAUAAAAAAACUCAUUCAUUAGAAGCAACUUUAAGAAUUGGGCUAGACUGGUUUCUAGCAUAAGUUCGUUUCAGAACAACAAAAACAUUAGAAGUAGGAGAUGCUUAUGCCCAUUAUAAACUUGAGACUUAAGAUCUCCUCAACAAUCAAUUCAUGAACAACCAAGUGAAUAGUGGGAAGCAGAGUAGAAUGAAAGAUUAUUCCAUAUGAUCCUUCAAAUUCAAAUCGUAAUGCUAUCAAAGCCAAAUGUUACUCUUCUCUCUUGGACACUCAUAGUAUUACAUUGAAGUGCUUUAAUAUAUGACUUUAACCAGUACCACUUAUCAAAAUUAGACUGAGUAUACAAUAUGUACAAGUGAUUGCAAACUUCUUUAGUUGUUUCAUAUUUCGCCAACAGUCACAAUAAAUUUGAUCACAAUUUUUUAUCUAACUACAAAGAGUUGUCCUUUUCCUUUUGAGCCAUAUUAAUGAUAACCAAAAUAAACAAAUAUCAAUAGCAAAUACGUUCGAAUGACUUUUAAAAUUUGAACACACAAAUUUACAUAAAUUUAAUGUCUGACCUCACUAUAAGAAACCACCAUCUACAAAAAUCAUGAAGCCUGAUGAAAAAUGAAAAACAAAUAGGAAAAUAGGAAAUGAAUAGACAAUAAAGAGUGAUACAAAUUUAAGUAAGAUGUUUCUUUCAUCAUUUCAACAUCUAUUAUUUUCGUAUUCUCUUUUUCAUAGUCUAUAAUGGUCCCAUUGGUUUUCUUGGACCAUGGGUUUAAAUGGUUGAAUUAGUGAAAUAUACUUUCAUGUGUAGCAAAAUAUUACAUUUAUGCUCUUGUUGGCUAUUUUAUAGUAAAAAAAAAUUAUUUACCAUUAAAAACACUUAACCUACUAAAUACUAAUCAUUUGAUCAUUCCAACUUCCCACAUCAACAUAUUAUCUCUUUAAUAAACACAUGUUAGAGUUGAUUAUCUAAGAUGUCCAAUGCAGGAAAACAACAUUAUAAACAACAAAAUUAUAACUAUGGCUGGUCAUAAAGAAUGUUACAACUACAAUAGUCACAUUUUAUUGGUCAUACACCUCAAAUGCAUCACGAAGUUAAUAAUAAUAAGCAUAGAUCCUAAAUUUCCCAAAUAGGUUUAAAACCAAUUUAGCAAUGAUUAAGAAUUUACAUGUAAGGUUAGGCAUCAAUAUUUGGUAGUGGAUACUAGGACUUUCUUUGGUAAUCUCAUCUGCAUGAUCAACAAACAUAGUUUGACUUUAACUAGAAUUUAAAAUACGUUUAAUGAAUCUAUAAAUAACAGAAUAUCAGACAAUUUUGACCUUAGAUUUUGUGGUUCUCCAACCUAUUGAGUUGGUUUGUGGAGAUGUGUAGGCAAAUUUCUCAAACGGAUUUUGUAGCACGCUUUUACUCAAACUUGUAACAAUAGAUGGUGAUUCUUCCUACAAUUAAAGUCGUGUUUGUUACACAUGACAGUAUAGGACAAAACAUGUUGUACUGUAUUUGGUAUGUAUUGGACUGAGACUGUGUGAUUGAUUUCAACAAGACAAAAGUUGCAAAUGUUUUUAGGGAGUCGCUUUCGAUUUGAGACGUAUGCAAAAUUACCUUAUUUGUUGUUGAUGUAUGGAUAUGUUGGAUUUCUAGUCUGUCAGAAUAAAAGAGCACCUGCAUAUAGAAAAGUUAUAUAAGUUGGUUGUAUAUCUCCGAAGGAUCAAAGAGAAUUUGUGAUCGUAUUCAAUACAUCCCAACUCCCAACUCCCAAAACAUAAAUCAGCAAAAUGACGAAUAUGCCCUCAAUAACUAUCAAACGGAUAUGCAACAAGAUAUUAUAACAGUAUGAACUGAUAUCAUACCUUGUUUAAAAGCUGCACAUUGGAGGAAUCAGUUGCCACAACAUGUAACCCAAGGCAAUUGUCUUGAUCACUACAAAAAGGGCAGAAAGUCAUAUUAAAUACACAGCCAUCUUCUUUACUCCAAAUUCCUUCAUCACCACUUCUUUUCCAAAUUCUCCCAUCAACACAUGAAAGAUCAGACACCACAACAGCCACACUUGUCCCACCCUUUUCUCUCCCUUUCCAACUUGACACCAAAUGCAAUUUAGAUAAUGACAUUGAUGAACAAGGGACAAAAUAGUCAUUUUCCGCAAGACCCAAUGGAGUGUUACAGAGUGAACACGAUAUUUUUAGAUCUUUGAUACUUCUUGGUUUCAUCACCAAGAUUCAUGGUUUCUUUCACUGGAAAUGUGGGUUUGGGUUUGGGGGAAUCAAAUCAGGACAUUUUGACUGAUGCAAAAGCUGAAGACUUUCUUCUUUUGUGAAAAUGGGAAUUGACACUUGAAUCUAGAGGUGAAUUGGUUUGAGGGAUUUGUUGUUUUUUAGGUGUUGGUGUUGUUGUGUUCAUGCAUUCAGAAGCUGAAGUGGAACAGGGGGAAGAAAAGGAACAAGUGGGAAACUUUGAUUGGAUUAUGGUUGACUCGGAGACAGAUUCAAGAGUAGCAGGGUAACUGUUCUUGAUUGGUGUUUCCUUCAGAAUAGGUGGCUCAUGGUCAAGGGCAUUAUCGUCAUUUCUCGGGGUUUCAUGAACAAUGGUUAAGUCGAAAUCGUCAUCAUGAGAUAUAUUCAUUGAUGGUGGCGAUGGAAACCUGCACCCAUCAUAAGACAUACAUCUGUUACCAACUUCUAUUCUCUUUUAGAGUAAUUACAAGAAUGGUCCCUGUGUUAUUCCCAACAUUUCAGAUUCAGUCCAACUUCUAUGAUAAAAUGACUUUUCUACCCUCACAUGUUUCUUUUUAAAGAACAUUGCAUUUUUGGUCCCCAAGUAUAGCUGAUGUUUUUAAUUUUGGUCCCAAAAGGUUGUCAUGCUAAUUUGGUCCUUAUUUAAGAUUUUUGUAACGUUUUUUGCCCUGUUCCUAGUAAAAUGGGCUAUUUUUGGGAUCGAAAUUGCAAAAAUCACACCCAUAGACCAAAAUGGUCACUUAAUUUGGAACCGGGACCAAAAACAUUACACGAAUGUCAAAUAAGGACCAAAAAUGCAAAAGAAAACCUUUUAGUACCAAAAUUGCAAAAAGCAACCAUACUCAAGGAACAAAAAUGUAAUUUGACUCUUCUUUUUAACUUUUCUAUAAUUUGUUUAUUUUAAACUAUUAUUAGAUGUCAUUUUACAUGGAUCAGUGACAGAUUAGAAACAAAAACCAAUGUUAGGGACCAAUUUGAAACAGAAAAAAAAAAAAUUGGACUGAAUAUGCAACAGUGGGUAUAACACAAGGACCAUUCUUGUAACUAACUCUUUUUAUUUCAAUGAUUGAAAGAACAAGACGCGUAGAUAAAAUAACAAGUUUAAAAUACCUGUUUUGUGUCUCCAAAUCACCUUUGGAGUCAGUGUAAGUUAUACCAGUAUUGCUGUCACUCUUUUUCACUCCCCUAAUUGUUUCCUGAGGUUUAGAUUCUGUUUUGAGGGAGGGGCAAUGAAACUUUUUAGAUGUAAUCGGAAACUUUUUUAAUAUUAAUGUGUAACCUCACUAUGAGAAACCUUCAUCAACAAAAAUUAUGAACCCUAAUGAAAAACCAAAAAAAAAAAAAAAAAUAGAAAAUAAAGAGUGAUACAAAAUGCCUUCAUCAUUUCAACAUCUAUCAUUUCCAUAUUCUCUUUUUCAUAGUCCAUACAGGUCCCAUUGGUUUUCUUGAUUGGUAUUUCCUUCAUACUGGGUGGCUCAUAGUCAAGGGCAUUAUCGUCAUUUCUCAGGCUUUCAUGAACAAUGGUUUAUUUGAAAUCGUCAUGAGAUAUAUUCAUUGAAGGCGACGAUAAAAACCUGCACAGAACAUAAGAAGAUAUAUAUAACCGAAUUUCAUUCUUUUUAUCUCAGAAGUUGAAAACAAAACAGAGCUUUAUGAUCUUUGCUAAUAAAGCAUUUGUAGUUGAGACUCACUUCUUCAAGAAUGAAGUGCUUUUAUACAAAUCAAACAUUAAUACUAGGGGUGUUGAACGGGUAAUUUUUUCGGGUUUCGGGUAAUUCGGGUCGGGUAAUUCGGGUUUUUCAUGUUAGAAAAAUUACCCGUUACCCUACCCAAACUAAAUUCGGGUAAUUCGGGUAUCGGGUCGGGUUUGGGUAAUUCGGGUAUUACCCGAAAUAUAUGAUUUUUUUUUUGAAUUUCACCUAAAAAUAAAUUUAAUGGAAUAAAUACGUCGUGCUUUAUUAGUCUUGUUUAUAUAAACAAACGAGACAUAAACGAAGUUACUCAAGCUUUGAACAUUGAGAUUUUCUACUCAAUAAUACAUGAGAUAUCAAGUAUUUUUGUAACGACUUAAUCUAAUCUAAUAAGAUGUUAAAAAAACAAAUACCUAAAGAUCUUAAUUUAAAAGUUUAAAAUGUUUAAGAUAAACGUAGUCAUAAGUUUUGCCAUGUUUUAAAGUUUCGUCAAGAUAAUGAGUUUGUUAAUUGUAAUAAAAACUAUAAUAUAGAAAACAGUUAAGUUUUAAAGAACGUGAUGAUAUAUAAAAAUUACUUUUAAUAUUGUUAGUGUCGUAUUGUCAUAAUAAAUAUAUUUAUGUUUUAUAAUAAUGAUAUUAGUUUAAGCGUGAUCAAAUACUUGCUAUAUAGUACAAGCUCUAUAAGAAAAAUGAAAUUUUAAAAUAAUUUGGGUAAUUCGGGUAAUUCGGGUAUACCCGAAAUCCAAAAAAUGUACCCUUUACCCGACCCGAAAAAAAAUCGGGUAACCCGAUUACCCGGAAAAUUUACCCGAUACCCGAUUUACCCGACCCGAUUUACCCGUUACCCGAAAAAAUCGGGCGGGUAAUUCGGGUAUCGGGUAUUUUCGACAGGGCUAAUUAAUACACUCAACUUACACUAUUUGUAAUGUAGAGGUUGAGCAACAAGAUCAUUUGAAAUGUGAGGUUGCUGCCAGGACUUGGUUUGAGAUUUUUAAAUGGUUGGAGAUUUCACAAAUUCCUUUUGAUUCCGUUCCUGAUUUGUUUAUGUUGGUGGAUCAGUUGCCUAUCGCUUCGAAAAAGAAAGUUGUCUUGGAUACUGUGGUCUGAAUUUCUAUUUGGUAUAUCUGGAGGUUCAGAAAUAAAAAAGUGUUUGUUUGAGGAAAGAUAAGGCGGAGUGAGAUUGUGGACUCUAUUAUCCAAUUUUCUUAUCUUUGGUAUAAUAACAGGAACAGCAAAUGUAUCAUAGAUAGGAUAAAUUGCCAGUGAGGCUAUUUCAGAAAAAAAUGAAAAAUACACUCAACUUACAAGAGGUGCCAUUGAAGAAUUUUAUCAAACACUUGGUGUUCAUAAAAAUAAAGAACACAGAUCUGUUGAAUUAAGGGCAGUUUUAUGUUAUUCAUUCUUUUUCUUUUCUUUCUUGUCCAGUAUGUGCUAAGAGAGUUUCAUCUAUGUAUUACCAUUCUAUGCACCUUCAACCCCUGAAUUUAUGCAUUAUUUAAAAUAACUGAAUAUGUACAAACCAACCAAAAAAAACUUGUGUAAUUAUUGCUAAGUUAGUCACAUCUUAAUCAAAUAGAAGAAAUGGACACAUCAUACAUGAGAUUACAUGAAACUAGAAAUUCAAUAAUUCGAAUUGAAAUUUUAAGCAAGCAACUCUGAUUACAAGUCAAUUCAAUGAUCAGAUAAUUAAGGUAGAGAAACAUGUACAUGAUUAGGAAGAAGGAAACAAGUGUAGGAUGUAAUCAUACCUAUGCUAUAUAGCUGACUUCAAAAUGAGCCAAACUGCACGUGUGAAUUCAAAUGUUCCUCUAGAACUGCCAUCCCUGUAGGAGAUUACAAAAAAGUGGUAAAUUAGAGAGUAAUGUAAAGUUUUUGUUGGAAAAAACAUUAGUCUGUUAAUAAUAACCAAAGGUGACACCACAUACCUCUUGUUGAUAGGUCUUUAUAAAAGAGUUGGGUUCUUCUGUUACAUGACAAAAUCCAAAAGUUGUAUCUAUUAACUUUAGCUCCGGAGUAGUUGAUUGCCCAUUUGUGAAUACUGUUAUUUUUGGACAAUAUUUGAUUUCCAAAGUAUCUAAUGAUGGCCAUUCAAAAGCCUCCUUCCCCAGGCAAAAUCCCAUGAGAUUUGGAAGGUUGUGAAGUGUAAUGGAUUUCAGACAAGGGAACACAACCUCAGUAGUCGGUCUGGUUUCGGAAUCUUCAACUUGCUUCACAAUCACAUCCAUACUCUUGCAGUCACUUAUUUUUAGCUCUUGGAGCUGCAAUAGACUACCAACCAUGCAACUACUGAAAACGUGUCCAAGAAGCUUACAACUUACAAUUGAGACCUUUGUAAGGUUUGGAAAGUUCAACACUAUCCACCGAUUGCUCUUCCACACAUGCUUCAGAUUAUUUAUUCCACCCAAAGUCACCUCUUUCAGCUUCUCAAAUACCACAACAGAUUGUGUUCCAAUAUCCACAUCUUCAUUUGUCCCUUCUGCUACUUCAAAUA
rnacentral:lncRNA from 1 species